rnacentral:lncRNA from 1 species
GCCCGUCGGAGCUGAAGGUCGACGGAGGCUGUGUGAGUGCGUACAUCAAGUUCGGCACCCCCCAGUACUGCUGCACGCCGCCGCUUACGCCGUCGACCUGUGGGUCGACGAACUACUCGCUCUUCUUCAAGGGGCACUGUCCGGACGCCUAAGGCUACGCCUACGAGAAGAGCAGCACCUUCACCUGCCACGUCCGAUCAGACUACCAAGUCACCUUCUGCCCAUAGAGGCGAUUGGGAUUCAAUUUACUUCGAUGGUUAAGUCUGUAAUUUAAUAGCGUUUCCAAUGUAAUAAUGGAAAUAAUGAUGACCGAUGAUUCCACAAAAAAAAUCUAUUGAAAAACUUUAUUGAGAAAAUUUGUUUGACAACAUUCUUUUUCUUUUGUGAGGAUAGAAUAGUCAACUUCUUUGUUUCGAGGACGAACAUACUUCUCUCUUUAAUCCAUGUUAAAUCAGCAACAAUUAAUAUAAAUCGAAGGGAGUAUAUGAAACAAGGCCUGCCCAAGUUUAGUUACCUUUUCUGAAGAUAGUAACUAACCGUGAAUCUCGUAUUUCCUAUAUAACUCUCGUUGCCUCGGUUUGUCUACGAGACAUCUUAUGUGACGCUCACCAUGUCUAACAGGUGUCUAACAGUAGCGAGCUGGGCCACCGGCCCAUAAACAAAGUACUGCUGCAGUACCUAAACACUGAUUAAGAAUCUGAAUGCAGGACCAAGUUCAAUGACCAUAAAUAAAGGAUAUUAAAGCAAAUAUGUCGUCCAUUGAAGAUGUUAGGGGUAAAGCAUGAGAUGAGAGAAUCACAUGAAGGAGCUCAAAGCCUAGCAAAAGCUGCUUUAUCGCUAGAUUUGGGGUGCCCCACCUGUGGGUUACAUACCCACCUGAAAUCGCUUGUAUCCCAAACGUUGUUUUGAGUUAAUAAAAACCUGGUGAUACCCCUCAAAAAAGCACUGCAGCAAUGCAAUGUAGCAACUACUCCCGCUAUAACCUUCUCCAAUACGUUUGUAGAGUCCAUGACAACAUUAAAAAACGACAUAUAUUAUAUUUGAGAAGAAGUAAUGUUCUAGCAUGGUACUGUAGUGGUCAUUUUUGGGGAAAAAUAGAACAACUUUUGGAAAGCCGUAGACAUCACCAGGGAAUGCCUGCCAGAGCUGCAGGUGCCCGGAGGGUGCGCGAGCGCGUGCGGCAAGUUCGGCGGCGACACGUACUGCUGCCGGGGCCAGUUCGAGCACAACUGCCCGCCGACGAACUACUCGAGGUUCUUCAAGGGCAAGUGCCCCGACGCCUACAGCUACGCCAAAGACGACCAGACCAGCACAUUCACCUGCCCCGCCGGAACCAACUACCAGAUCGUCCUCUGCCCCGCCCGAAAUGAUUUGCACAUGGAUCAGUAAGUAGAGGACGUACUACUCCUAGUAGUCUUCCUUGCUUAUUAUGAUCGUCGAUCAUUUCUGUGUGUGCGUGCGUGCGUGCAUGGCUGCUGCGUGCCAUUCAGAGAAAAUGGAAGUGUAAUUUCUACGGUUAUGUGGAGUGCAACUCUGUUUUAUUUUCUUACCUUAUUAUUGCCAUGAGUAAUGCAUCUAUGGAAAUUUUAAUAUGGUCCCUCUUACAUCCUCUUUGCUUACUCCUGUAAGUUUAGCAUUUUUGCUGUGCCCAAGCCCCAAGAGGACAUCCCAUUUCCGUACAUCAAAUCCAUAUAUAAUCAUGAUCGUGCAAGUUUAGCAUUUUCGUUGUGCCACCUUCCAUCUUCAUCUCUGGUAUAUCAUGUCGUUUAGCCGCAUAUGCACUUACGAUUACGCUUAGUCUAGAGAGGUUUUUAUUAACAUGCUCCUAGUCUAGACGGAUCACAAUAUAUCAUGUCGUUUAACCGCAUAUUCAUCUCUUUUUAUCCGCUUUGAUCUACCUUUUGUGUAUCUUUUGUAGCUAAGACAAAGAGGUAGCUGCACGUUGCUAUCCUAGAGUUAAUUCUGCUCGCCGUCGUGCACCACAGACAUCCACGAUGGAGGUGGUCACCUAAUUAUCUUACCCACAAUCAAGUUAAUCAGCAAUGUGCUGUUUUUUCUCUUGACACAACUCAAGAUAGCGGUAGGACCACUGACCUUGAACACUUGAUGAUAGAGCUCAAGUGUCAUUAGUAGCUAGGACCAUGAAACAAGAUGAGAAUAGUCCACGAGCUCAAGUGUCAUUAAUAGCUAGGACCAUGAAAACAAUUUGUGGCCAAGAGUGAGUCACAACAUCUUCUCCCCCCCUUCUUGACAACCACAUUGCUAUGUCAAUAGAAAACAUUUAAAAAAAAUAACACAGCCAGGUGUGGACCAGUGAAUGUCUGCCUCCUAGAUGUAGGCUCUGUUUGAUAGCAAAGUAUUUUAGAAAAUACUACUGCAGUUUAAUUUACUUUGAGGUGUUUGGCUACUAUUAAAAACUUUGAUAUUAAUUCCAGAGUACUCCCUCCGUCCGGUGAAAAGUGUACAUAGUAUAAAUUUUUUAGGACCAAUUACGGAGUGGAGUAAAAAAUGCAUUGGAAAAGUGCAAGCCAUCAUCUCUCUCCUCUUUAAUUACCCAACCCAUGUACAAAUUAAGGAGACCAUGCGAGAGAAACAAAUUUUCCUAUUUUAAAGUGCAUUAGAAAGAUAGAAGUACACUCUUUUUGGACAAAUUUCAAAGCCAAAUGUACACUCUUCACCAGACGGAGGGAGUAUGUUCAAAACCAGAGUAUUUUCUCUGUCUUAAAAAAGAACCUUUGAGCGGACACGAAGUUUCUAAGCCCGAGCUCAAAUGAACUUUGAUGGACACUAAAACUGAAAACAAUUUAAAAACAAUCAAAAAAUCUGAAUAUUUUUUAUGACAAACAUUGACAAAUGUUCUAUGAGUUUUCAAAAUUUCAUCAUAGAAUCACAUUCCUAAAAGGCGUGGCAAAGAAAAUGGAUAUGUUACCACAACUUCCGCAAAUGUGACUCCACGAUGAAAUUUUGCAAGCUUUUAGAACAUUUGUUAAUGUUUAUCACAAAAAAGACAGACUUUUUUGAUUUUUUUAGAUUUGAUUUAUUGUUCACCCGAGCUCAUUUGACACUACUGCAGGAAUGCCCAGCAACGGCGGGUGCAAAAAGCCUAGUAGUGGCGGGCCGGGCUCUCAGAACCGCCCGCCANNNNNNNNNNNNNNNNNNNNNNNNNNNNNNNNNNNNNNNNNNNNNNNNNNNNNNNNNNNNNNNNNNNNNNNNNNNNNNNNNNNNNNNNNNNNNNNNNNNNNNNNNNNNNNNNNNNNNNNNNNNNNNNNNNNNNNNNNNNNNNNNNNNNNNNNNNNNNNNNNNNNNNNNNNNNNNNNNNNNNNNNNNNNNNNNAUCGCCCGCCACAACUAUAAUCUCUGCCCGCCACUAUGGUGUGUAUUAGCAGUGACAGACACCUUUGCCGCCUACCACUGGUAGUGUUGUCGGCAUAUAGAGAAAUUGCUGCCGCGGCAUUGUUUUUUUUUUGCUGCGCGCGGCUCUGAAGCAGUAUUUUGCACUCAAUCAUCCCAUUUCAUUCAAACAAUCAUACUACAACGGUGUUACAAUAAUUAAGAUUAUUAAUGAAGCAAACAUACAGUAUAAGAAGUGUAGGGCAACAAAUAAACAUGUAAAAUUGUCAACUCAUAAAAUGAACAACGAAUCAAGAUGUUUUGAAGCAUUGUAUCGCUCACACUCGAUUACCGAAUAUGUUUUCGACUCAGUGAAGUCGUUCUUCAUCUCGCUCUAGCUACAAGUGAAACUUCCCAUCUUCAUUUACAACCUCUUUGUUGAUGAUUCUGGCCAACACCUUUUGGAGGCGGCCAAACUCUGUUAAUAGUACCCCUAUGCCCAUGUCCCUCUCCAUCUCUUCGGACCACUUGAUGACCUGGCUAUGAUUAUGCAAAUAUUUGCUUUUCUUCAAAAAAGUCAUCCAUGAUAGCCAUGGCAUGACAUCCAGACCUAUGAGAGGUUUCCACAUUUUGUUCUUAAUAACAACAAGCGCUAGUGAAGAACUUGAAUUCUGAAUGUUCUGCUAUAGUCUCUUUGACGUUCUUACACUUGGCGAGAGCAUCAUUUAGAACCUUCUUCAAUCCAGUCCAGUUCUUUUGAGGGUGUCUCUUCGAAUUGAAGAAGUAAGCCAAGCCAUCCAUUGGCAAUAGUGCGAUUACGAUCCAAUGUCGGUUGCUGCGCAAAAAAAUAAAGAAAUUAGCAUUGAUGAGAUCAAACCACAAGGCCAUUUAUAUGUUUCAAAAUAAAUUAGUGAAUGUUAAUGACUUACUUCGCAGUAUGGCACUAGAAAGGUGUCCGCAUGUGGAUGAUUGACAAUAAAGAACGGGGAUAUGUGAACGGGAACAUGUAGUCUGAGAUGACCUCCUGGACUUCUGUGGUUUCCAGGUUGUGGCAGUGCAUGUAAAAAGGAUUAGGUAAGGACACUUUACCAUGCGGGAGUAGGGGAUCUGUAGCUCGAUGAAGUACCCAGAGCCUCAUUAACUCUAGGGAAACUGCACUAACGGAGAAAAUAUUUGCAUAGAUGACUUCAUCAAAGGCCAAAUCAAUUCUGUCGGGCGGAGACUCUGGGACAAAACUAUAACCUUCUAUCACCUUGGCCGUGUAUCCAUGUUGACAGUUUUUAAUUUAUCUACCACAUGAGCGUGUAGAAAUUGAAGAUCAAUCGAGACGGUCUCCAACAUAGAAUCUGAUAGAAGCAGUUCCCCAGGCUUAUACAUGUUCAUUUUCGGCCCUUCGGGGAUGACAACAUGCAUAGGUGGUUUGUCCGCAGAUUGUCUGCAACUGUCACGUGCAUUCUUCUCCCCUGAAUGUGGAUUAUCUGGCACUACAUCUCCGGUGCCGACAUAUCCUUGGGGAAUCUCCUCUAUAUCAUUCGUUGGCCACUUAAGUAGGUGGCUCAGGGUCAGUUUCAAUAACAUAUUGACACCGUCGGCAACAGCGAGUUGUCAUGCCUUUUGUGUUACCCUUGAACCUACAUGAUUUUGAGUGGGUCACCUGCGAAGACGACGAAGGCCAGUGCGUCGCCCCAGCCGCAUGCCCUCUUCAUCGCCUCGCCUUGCUGGCCGUCGUCCGUGGCUAGAUUGCCCGAUUUUUGGUCUUCUGGUCGAGCCUCCGGGAUCUACACACUAGUAGAAAAGGGGGCAUUGGUCCAUACCGGGUCAGCCCAUUAGUCCCGGUUCAGUCCAGAACCGGGACCAAUGGUGGCAUUGGACCCGGUUCAUGAGCCCCGGGGCCGGCCGGGCCACCUGGGCCAUUGGUCCCGGUUCGUCUGGACCUUUUGGUCCCGGUUGGUGGGACAAACCGGGACCAAUGGGCCUCGCUCCUGGCCCACCACGAUUGGUCCCGGUUAGUGGCAUGAACCGGGACCAAAGGCUGCCCUUUAGUCCCGGUUCAUGCCACCAACCGGGACCAAUGAGGUGCCUAUAUAUACCCCCUCGCGUAAGAGCAGAGCACACUGCUCUGUUUUUUUGGCAGCCGAGGGGGAGAGGGCUUGGUGGUGCUCUAGCUCACCUCCUAUGCACACAAGGUGUUCGACGGAAUGCCCGAGCCACACUACUUAAGCUUUCUCCUCUCCAAGCUCGACCUCCAAGCUCCAUUUUCCUCAAUAUUUGUCUAGGUUUAGCGGUCCGUCACGCCCCGUACCCGUCUUCACCACCGUCGAUCACCCGCGUCGAUCUCAUCGCCGGCACCACCGUGGUGAGCCUAUUGUUCUUAUCUUCUUUCUGAAAGGAAAAAUAUUCUUACUUGUAUGUUUAGAUAGAUACUUGUAUUAUUUUCUUACUUUUAUUAUUGCAUCUUAUAUAGUGCGAUGGUUUUGGUAUCUGCCCCCGUCGGUCCUCGUCCUGUCUAUGAUUCGGAUGUGGUAUAUAUUAUCUUUUCAUAACUAUUGGUGCAUUUAUUGUUUAUGAAAAUGAUGCCGACCAACAUGACAUAGAUUUUAUUUAUCUAGGAGGUUGUUGAACCGGAAAUUCCAACCGACCCUAUUGUCGAGAGGUUAAAUUUAGUUGAAGAAGAAAACAAUUUCUUGAAGGAAAAAAUAAGAAAAAUUGAGGAGGAGAAGAUGAUAUUGGAGUUGCAUGUUGCGGAUGUCGUCGAUGAUCACAAGAUCAAGAUGGAUGCAAUGCACUUGAAGAUUAGAAAGAUUAGAAAAUAUGCCAUUCAUACCGAGGCUUGGUAUUAUUAUGCCAUUGGAUCAGUUGUUACCUUGGUUGCGAUUAUGAUCGCAUUUGUUUUCGCAUUGAAAUGUUUUACAUAGUUUCAAUGUAUUGUUUAAUUAAUUUAGAUGCUCUGUAGAGCUUUAUGUUGUUCUGUAAUGAUUUUCGCUUGAAGAUGAGAACUAUGUAUGUACUUUGGUUUUAAUGUGAUGAUGAACUUCUAUUAAUUUGGUCACUUAGUUAUCUAUUCAUGAUGUUCUGUAAUGAUUUUUGACACACUUAAUUAUAUAUAAUGCACGCAGAUGAACCGGCAAUGGAUGUACGGUAACAAACACACCUCCGAGUACAUUAAGGGCGUGCAUGAUUUUCUCGAAGUGGCUGAGGAAAACAAGAAGAAUGGUUUUAUGUGUUGUCCAUGCCCUAUAUGUGGGAAUACGAAGUCUUACUCUGACCGGAAAAUCCUUCACACCCACCUGCUUUACAAGGGUUUCAUGCCACACUAUAAUGUUUGGACGAGGCACGGAGAAAUAGGGGUUAUGAUGGAAGAUGACGAAGAAGAAGAGUACGAUGACAACUAUGUGCCCCCUGAAUACGGUGAUCCUACUGAACAUCAAGAGGAACCAGAUGAUUUGCACGAUGAUGCUGCAACGGGCGAAGCUGCUGAAGAUCAAGAGGAACCAUACGAUGUGCCCGAUGAUGAUGAUCUCCGCCCGGUCAUUGUCGAUGCAAGGACGCAAUGCGAAAGUCAAAAGGAGAAGCUAAAGUUCGAUCGCAUGUUAGAGGAUCACAAAAAAGGGUUGUACCCCAAUUGUGAAGAUGGCAACACAAAGCUCGGUACCGUACUGGAAUUGCUGCAGUGGAAGGCAGAGAAUGCUGUGCCAGACAAAGGAUUUGAGAAGCUACUGAAAAUAUUGAAGAAGAAGCUUCCAAAGGAUAACUAAUUGCCCGACAGUACAUACGCAGCAAAGAAGGUCGUAUGCCCUCUAGGAUUGGAGGUGCAUAAGAUACAUGCAUUCCCUAAUGACUGCAUCCUCUACCACGGUGCAUACAAGGAUCUGAACGCAUGCCUGGUAUGCGGUGCAUUAUGGUAUAAGAUCAGACGAGAUGACCCUGGUGAUGUNNNNNNNNNNNNNNNNNNNNNNNNNNNNNNNNNNNNNNNNNNNNNNNNNNNNNNNNNNNNNNNNNNNNNNNNNNNNNNNNNNNNNNNNNNNNNNNNNNNNNNNNNNNNNNNNNNNNNNNNNNNNNNNNNNNNNNNNNNNNNNNNNNNNNNNNNNNNNNNNNNNNNNNNNNNNNNNNNNNNNNNNNNNNNNNNNNNNNNNNNNNNNNNNNNNNNNNNNNNNNNNNNNNNNNNNNNNNNNNNAGGGUUCCUGCGAAGGUGAUGUGGUAUGCUCCUAUAAUACCACCGUUGAAAUGUCUAUUUAGAAAUGAAGAGAAUGCCAAGUUGAUGCGAUGGCACAGUGAGGACCGUAAGAAAGACGGGAAGUUGAGAGCACCCGCUGACGGGUCGCAGUGGAGAAAAAUCGAGAGAAAGUACUGGGCUGAGUUUGCACGUGACCCAAGGAACGUAUGGUUUGCUUUAAGAGCAGAUGGCAUUAAUCCUUUCGGGGAGCAGAGCAGCAAUCACAGCACCUGGCCCGUGACUCUAUGUAUGUAUAAACUUCCUCCUUGGAUGUGCAUGAAGCGGAAGUUCAUUAUGAUGCCAGUUCUCAUCCAAGGCCCUAAGCAACCCAGCAACGACAUUGAUGUGUACCUAAGGCCAUUAGUUGAAGAACUUUUACAGCUGUGGAAUGGAAACGGUGUACGUACGUGGGAUGAGCACAAACAGGAGGAAUUUAACCUAAAUACGUUGCUAUUCAUGAGCAUCAAUGAUUGGCCCGCUCUCAGUAACCUUUCAGGACAGACAAACAAGGGAUACCACGCAUGCACGCACUGUUUACUUGACACCGAAAGUAUAUACCUGGGAAGCUGCAGGAAGAAUGUGUACCUGGGCCAUCGUUGAUUUCUUCCGACCAACCAUCAACGUCGAAAGAAAGGCAAGCAUUUCAAAGGCGAGGCAGAUCACCGUAAGAAGCCCGCCAUGCGUACCGGUAAUCACGUACUUGCUAUCGUCAAUGAUUUACACGUAAUCUUUGGAAAGGGUCCCGGCGCACUAGCUGUUCCGAAUGACGCCGAGGGACACGCACCCAUGUGGAAGAAGAAAUCGAUAUUUUGGGACCUACCCUACUGGAAAGACCUAGAGGUCCGCUCUUCAAUUGACGUGAUGCACGUAACGAAGAACCUUUGUGUGAACCUGCUAGGCUUCUUGGGCGUGUAUGGAAAGACAAAAGAUACAGCUGAGGCACGGGAGGACCUGCAACGUUUGCACAAAAAAGACGGCAUGCCUCCAAAGCAGUAUGAAGGUCCUGCCAGCUAUGCUCUUACCAAAGAAGAGAAGGAAAUCUUCUUUGAAUGCCUGCUUAGUAUGAAGGUCCCUAAAGUCUCAUGACUGCCACAUGAUUAUGACGCAACUGCUUCCGGUUAAAUUGAGGGGGCUUCUACCAGAAAACGUCCGAUUAGCCAUUGUGAAGCUAUGUGAAUUCCUCAAUGCAAUCUCUCAGAAGGUGAUCGAUCCAGAAAUCAUACCAAGGCUAAGGAGUGAUGUGGUGCAAUGUCUUGUCAGUUUCGAGCUGGUGUUCCCACCAUCCUUCUUCAAUAUCAUGACGCAUGUCUUAGUUCAUCUAGUCGACGAGAUUGUCAUUCUGGACCCCGUAUUUCUACACAAUAUGUACCCCUUUGAGAGGUUCAUGGGAGUCCUAAAGAAAUAUGUCUUUACCGUGCUAGGCCAAAAGGAAGCAUCUCCAUGGGCCAUCAAAUAGAGGAUAUCACCGGGUUUUGUGUUGACUUCAUUCCUGGCCUUAAGAAGAUAGGUCUCCCUAAAUUGCGGUAUGAGGGGAGACUGACUGGAAAAGACACGCUUGGAAGGGACUCAAUAAUAUGCAGGGACGGAUAUUCUUGGUCUCAGGCACACUAUACAGUUCUAAAGAACUCUACCUUGGUGACCCCGUAUGUCGAUGAACACAAGAACAGUCUGUGCUCCAAACACCCAGAGCAGUGCGACAACUGGAUUACAUGUGAACACAUCAGGACUUUCAGCAGUUGGUUGGAAACUUGUCUCAGAGGUGACAACACUGUUUGUGAUGAGCUGUACUUGUCGUCCAGGGGACCAUCUUCGACUAUUACGAUUUGCUAAGGAUACGAGAUAAAUGGGAAUACAUUUACACGAUUGACCAAGAUCAAAAGAGCACCAACCAAAACAGCGGUGUCUGCUUUGAUGCAACAACCGAGAGGGGAAGGGACACGUAUUAUGGUUACAUAGUGGACAUAUGGGAACUUGACUACGGACAUGAUUUUAAGGUUCCUUUGUUUAAGUGCAAAUGGGUCAAUCUGUCAGGAGGCGGGGUACAUGUAGACCAACAGUACGGAAUGACAACAGUGGAUCUGAAAAAUCUUGGGUACACUGAUGAACCGUUCGUCCUAGCCAAUGAUGUGGCACAGGUUAUCUAUGUGAAGGACAUGUCUACCAGACUGAGAAAAAGAAAAGGUAAGGAAGCGAAUACAUCAUAUGAUGAGCCAAAGCACCACAUAGUUCUUUCAGGAAAAAGGGACAUCGUGGGAGUGGAGGGCAAGACAGACAUGUCUGAAGAUUAUGAAAAGUUUCAUGAAAUUCCUCCCUUCAAAGUCAAGGCUGACCCCAGCAUCCUGAUAAACGAUGAAGAUUAUACAUGGUUAUGACGCAAUAAGCAAAUGACACAAGCGAAGAAAAAGUGAAGAAUUUCUCCCGCAACUGUUAUGAUGAUACCAUGCCAACUUUGUAACAGACGAGUAUGAUACCAUUGUUCGUUUUGUACGUGCACAUGCUAUGUGGGUGAAAUUAUGAUACCAUGCCAACUUUCAACUUUUUCAGAGUUCAUUUGAAAUGCUUUAAUGUCUUAUGGUUCGGCCCUCGUAAUACCAUUAAUCCCGGUUCGCUCCUUGUCAACUAUGUUCUCACCAAGAACACUCUCAAGAGGGCAGCCACGUGGGCCAUUGGUCCCGGUUCGUUUGGACCUUUUGGUCCCGGUUCCACGCACGAACCGGGACCAAUGCGCCUCGCCCCUGGCCCAUGACCAUUAGUCCCGGUUUGUGCCACAAACCAGAACUAAAGGGUUGGUCCUCGUUGCGCUUAGAGUUUAGUCCCACCUCGCCAACCGAAUGGCGCUCACACCGGUUUAUAAGCCCGUCCCUCUCUGCCUUGUUGAGCUCCACUCAAAGUGAAAAUAGAUGCCCCUAUACAGGAAAAUUGACCUAAAUUCAUAGUGAAUUUCUCUGAAAUUUAUAGGAAUUUAUUAUGAAUUUAGGUUGAAUUUUCUCUAUAGGCGCAUGUAUGUUCAUUUUUUAGUAAAGUUAAUCACAAACUUGUGAUUCACGCAAAUUUCAAAGAAUUCAAAUUUUGGCUAUUCAAAUUUGAAAACUAAUGGCACUAAAAGAAAGUUUAUGAUUUUUCUAAAACUAAUGGCACUAACAGAAAGUUAUAAUUUUGCUGACCUAAAAGCAAAAAGAAUUAAAAAAUAAAGCAAAAAACAAAAACAAAAAAUAAUACAGAAAACAAUACAAAAAACCGGAAACAAAAUAAAAAUAGCAACAAUAAGUAUUUUGUUGUAAGUAGAAACAAAAUAAAACAAAUAAAGCAAGAAAGAAAACAAGAAAAUAAAAAAAGUGUUUUCACAUUUGAAAACUAAUGGCACUAACAGAAAGUUUAUAAUUUUUCUAAAACUAAAAGCAAAAAGAAUUAAAAAAUAAAGCAAAAAACAAAGGAAAAUAAAUAAUGCUGAAAACAAAACAAAAAAACUGGAAAAAAUUAAAAAUAGCAACAAUAAGUAAAGAAAACAAAAAAUAAAAAAAUGCCUCCUACUGGGCCCCCACGGCCUGAAUACGACUAGAAACCCUACCAUGGACCAGGAUUCAGACCCGCAGGAGGCCCAGUAGGCCCGCAGGCAGAUAAGUGACUUUAGGCCCGUAAGCCUGCAUUUGAGAGGAGCUCGAAGUGGUCAGCGCAGCAGCGCUUAUAAACCACUGUCGAGCCCUCUGGGCUAGCGAGGUGGGACUAAACAUCCCACCGCACCACGCCGCGCCAGUUCCAGCACAAGGCCUUUGGUCCCGGUUGGAGCCACCAACCGGGACUAAACGGGUGCAUUGGUACCGGUUCGUGGCACAAACCGGGACCAAUGCCCACCUUUAGUCCCGGUUGGUGCCACCAACCGGGACCAAAGGCCGCCGCUUCCCGCCCUUUGGGCUGCCGAAAACUGGCCUUUGGNNNNNNNNNNNNNNNNNNNNNNNNNNNNNNNNNNNNNNCUCGCCGUCGCCCUGCCCCUGCCCCCACCCCCGCGCGCCGGCCCCGCUGUGAGCCGCCGCCCCGGCUCUAUUUUUUUAUUAGUUUAAUUUUUUUGUUCAUAUAUAUAUAUAAUGUAUAUGUGUAUGUAUGUGGCUAUAUGUUUUUUUAUUUUUAUUAGUUUAAUUUUUUUUGUUCAUAUGUGAUGUAUAUGUGUAUAUGGCUAUAAUAUAUAUGUGUAUGUGAUGUAUAUGUGUAUGUGUCUAUAAUGUAUAUGUGUAUGUGAUGUAUAUGUGUAUGUGGCUAGAAUAUGCUAAAUAUAUACGUGAAAAAUGUUUGUUUGUUCAUAGAAAGUUUUUUGUUCAUAUAUAGAAAGUUUUUAUAUAUGACAAUGGAUAUAUAUUCGAUAUAUAUGAGAAAUGAUGAUCCAUGGAAAAGGUUUAUAUAUGCAAAAGUUACAAUUUUAGAAAAGUUUUAUAUAUCUAGCUAGGAAGGGAAGAACAAGAAAAUGAAUAAUGAGAGGAAAAAGGAAAUAAGAAGAGGAAAGAAAGAAGAAGAGGAGAGGAAGAAGAGGAGAAAUAAAUAAGAAGAAAAAAAAGAAGAAAAGGAAGNNNNNNNNNNNNNNNNNNNNNNNNNNNNNNNNNNNNNNNNNNNNNNNNNNNNNNNNNNNNNNNNNNNNNNNNNNNNNNNNNNNNNNNNNNNNNNNNNNNNNNNNNNNNNNNNNNNNNNNNNNNNNNNNNNNNNNNNNNNNNNNNNNNNNNNNNNNNNNNNNNNNNNNNNNNNNNNNNNNNNNNNNNNNNNNNNNNNNNNNNNNNNNNNNNNNNNNNNNNNNNNNNNNNNNNNNNNNNNNNNNNNNNNNNNNNNNNNNNNNNNNNNNNNNNNNNNNNNNNNNNNNNNNNNNNNNNNNNNNNNNNNNNNNNNNNNNNNNNNNNNNNNNNNNNNNNNNNNNNNNNNNNNNNNNNNNNNNNNNNNNNNNNNNNNNNNNNNNNNNNNNNNNNNNNNNNCUCCUCUAUUCCUUUCUUCUUCUCCUCUAUUCCUUUCUUCUUCUCCUCUUUUUUCUUCUUCUUUUUUUUCUUUGAUCUUCUACUCUGUCGUCGUCGAUAUACCCCCCCUCGGCCCUCUCGCUCGACCAAAACUCUCGAGGACACCCAAAUCCUAGAGAAAAAACGAUGUUGGUCUCAUACCCCCUCCCGCUGCGCCCCUACCCGACAAACUCUCUUGAGGCCACCCAAGUUUACCAAGUUAAAAGAGCGUUAUCGUCGAGGCCACCCGAAACCCUUGAAGCUUUGUGCCGAGGCCAUCCCAAACCCCUUGAAGCGUUGUCUAGGCCACCCCAAACCCUAGAGAAGCAGCGUCGAGGCCACUAACAUGAUUCCUUAUUGUGAUUAGCUAGCUAGUUCUACGUUUGCAACUAAUAUAUUUCCAUCUGUACCAUGUUUGAAUAAUAAUUGACAUGUUGUAAAUAUUUGCAGAAACUAUGGAGCACUCCCGAGACGAAGCAACAGAAGCGAUGUUGGGGGAGAUAAUUGCAGAAGGAAGUGAUGUCGUUGCAUCAUUUUUCAACGACACCGUUGGUCAGGAAGGACUGGAUGAAGAAGAGGGCUAUGUUCAUGAUGGCUCCGGCCCAUUAAUGCCGGCACAAGAAGAGGGCUAUGUUCAUGAUGGCUCCGGUGACCUAAUGGAGGUACAAGGAGGAGACCGUGCUGACUGCUCCGGUGACCGAACCGAGUCCGGCCAGGUAUAUAUAUAUUAGUUAAGCCCAUGCUGACUAGCUAAUUGAUGCAUUCAUUGUUUUGGUAUAUGUACAUAUAUUAAUUAACUCUCGUCUUUCUUCCUUUUUCUAGCCCUCCGGAUCGAGCACAACUUCGGUAAGGAGACGAGGCCCAAAGAAAAAGUUGAGCUCGGAUGAAAAGUUUGAGAUCACGGCAAUCGCGUGCGACGGCGAACCAAUUGAACGCAUUUGUUGCUCAGUGUGGGGUUCUUGUUAGGGACAAGAUCCCGAUCAGCAUCCACCAAUGGUAUAAGCCUAAGGAGGAAGACCCUUAGGUAUCUUAUGUCAAUGAUAUGCAGAAAAAUGAUCUUUGGACUGAGCUGAAGGCAAAUUUCACCCUACCGCCAGAGGAGGAUCCGGAGAAGCCAGUUAAAGAGAAAUUAAUCAAGUCUUGUGCUCUUAAGAAGAUGGCAGGCCUAUUCAGGAGGUGGAGGAAAGAGCUGGAAAAGUUUGUCGCCAAAGAAGAGACACCAGAAUUCAUCGGAAAAUAUGAGAAGAUCAGAGAUCACUGGCCCUCAUUUGUGGCCUAGACGACAUCGGAAAAGAGUAAGAAGAUGUUGGCGACAAACAAGCAAAAUGCUUCGAAGAAGAAGUUUCACGAUCGCACGGGGUCAGGUGGCUACCUGCAAGCCCGGCCUAAGUGGUCCAAGGCUGAGAAUGAUCUUCUUGAUAAAGGGAUCGAACCGGAGACAAUGAGAUGGCCAGACCAUUGCCGGACUUGGUUCUUCGGGACUGGCAAAACCUUGGACCCUGUAUCAGGGAAGUGCCAUUGGACGGACAAGCAACUGAAAACACCAGUCACAAGGCUUCUGUAGUAUAUCGAUGCAGCGCAGCAAGGGACGUUCGUUCCAGACAGGGAGAAGGACGAACUCACAAUUGCCCUCGGGAAUCCUGAGCACCCUGGACGGACACGAGGCAUGCCAGGCUCCAUUCCGUGGAAGGUUGGUUUUCCGAACAUGGGGGGUUACAAAACCCACGAGAGGAGGAAGAAAUUGGAGCAGAGCCAACUGCAGGUGCUGCACGAAAUGGUAAUGGGGCUAGAGGAACGAGAAGCAGAUCAUAACAAACGGCCUGCCGAAGCUUCCCCCGAAGCUACCCCGCCAUCUCAGCGGAGAAGCAGCGUGGCUUCCACCGAGCUGCUUCAGCCGGAGCAUGUCUUGACGGCUCCUGACAUCUAUCCCGUGGAUGCUAUCAUGGAGGCUCAAAAUUGCCACCUUAUGACGCGAUGGAUGAAUUUGAAGGUCAAGGCGGCUGUUGGCUCUGUUUAUCCUACUGAACACGACGCAACUUUUCACUGCCGGCCGAUUCCAGAAGGAUAUGCUAGGGUGAUGGUGGGUGAAAUAACGGAGGGAUUUGAGGACCUCCAGCUUGACUACCCAACCGGUGAAGGGGAGACUAGGUUGGGUUCUGCUUUGAACACUCCAUGCCUAUGGUGGAAGGAGCUCAUCAACCUUCCGAACUGGACGCCUCCGCCUCCUCCUCCUCCAUCGGCGAGUCAGGGCACUCCGCCUCCUCUACCGCCUCCUCCUCCGGUGAGUGAUGAUCAGGGCACUGGGCCUCCUUCUCCAGCGCGUGGUGGCACUCCGCCUCCUUCUCCCUCUGUGCCGGCGCGCCCGAGCAGCCAACAGCCUCCUCCUUCUCCGGCGCGUGGUGGCACACCGGCGCAGCCUCCUCCUUCUCCGGCGCGUGGUGGCACUCCGCCUCCUUCUCCGCCUGCGCCGGCGCGCCCGAGCAGCCAGCAGCCUCCUCCUUCUCCGCCUCGCCAGCAAGGGCGGAAGAGACCCGCCGCCGCCCCGGCUGCUCCGGCGCGUCGUAGUCCUUCUCCUCCGCCUCGUAAGCAAGCACGAAAGAAGACAGGCGUCGCAGCCGCUCCGUCUGCUCCAGCGUCUAGUAGUACAGCCAGCAGAGGCGGGAGGCAAUAUAGAUACGGUCCUUCUCUGAAGCCUCUAGAGAAGUUACCGUAUGAGAGGACCAAGGUGGAAAACACGAAGAUCGUGCAGGCCGAAGUGGACGACUUCUUUGCCGGGUUGAAAGCAAAGAGACAUCCACCUCCGGAGGAGAAGGUAGAUCUGGUGAAAUCAAAGCGCACUAUCGAUGCCCUGAGGAAACCACCAAAGUCUCCGCCGAGAACCAACUAUGAGCACAUUACUGAAUAGACAUAUCUCGAAGCGGAGUGGUCGGGAAGUACUGUCAGUGAUAAAAAGGUUAAAAGAACGAGCAGCUGGGAAAAAAAUUGCCCAGCUCGGCGAACAAGCAAAGCAACCGUGCCCCCUGCUCAAUGUGUCUAGCGGCGACAUCGUCGCUAAUGCUCCGGGGAUGGUGGCCGGUUAUGGUAAUCUUGGAGAUUACCUGCCUAAGAUCAACUUCCUGAUUUCUUGGAGGUGGGCGAACACAUAUACGAGUACGGGAAGCCUCUCGUCAAAGAUGAAAAAUCUCUAACAACUAUGAUGCAAAGAUUCCAUAAUUGGUACAUGAAAACCUGCAGAGAGUAUGGGGGGACGAAUGCUUUGUAUCUAAAUAUUAAAGAGGAGCACGACCUCAUUGAAACUGAUCUGUUGACUGUUCCAUUUGAUGAGUUCUUCGCGUUCUUCAAUCAAAUGGCCCUCGAUAAACUAACGGUCUUUUGCUACUGUUUGUAAGUACUAUUUCUGUCAUUAAGUCUCUAUAUAUAGCUCAGCUCUUUCAUUGCAUGUAUUUAUAAUUAAUUAUCCUCACUAUAUUAUGCAGAUUGAAGAUCAUCGAGUGCAAAAAACAAGAAAUGUAUGAUAUUGGGUUCAUUAACACAAAUAUCAUAGAUGAAUUUCUGGUUAAAAAGCACGCCGAAGAGGCCGAGGCCAACUUGCUACAAUCGUUGAUCAAAAAUCAAAACAAAGAUACCAUACUCUUUCCUUACAACGGCCCGUGAGUGUUACUGUCGUGUGCAUAUUCGGUUUCCCUUAUUACUCGAGCGAGGUUAUAGUAAUGUAAUUGAUGAGUUAUGCAUGCAUGCGCAGGUACCACUAUAUUCUUCUGGAGAUUAAGCUUGAGCGUGGACUAGUAACCGUCUUAGACUCGAGACGGAAAGAUCCCGAAACCUAUGCGGACAUCACUGAAAUGCUCAGCAAGUAAGUUCAAUCGAUCAUUAUCGCACCAUAUCGGCAACUUUUUGUUCAUUUCCUGAUAUCUCAAGUAAUAAUUAUUAUUUUCUUUGUCUUGCAGGGUUUGGAAUAAGUUCACCGCACAAGCUCCGGGACUGCCGAAGGAGCUGCGAUAUACAACUUCCAGUGAAUGUUACUGUCGUGUACAUAUUCGGUUUUCCUUAUUACUCGAGUAAGGUUAUAGUAAUGUAAUUGAUGAGUUAUGCAUGCAUGCGCAGAUUCCACUAUGUUCUUCUGAAGAUUAAGCUUGAGCGGGGAGUAGUAAACGUCUUAGACUCGAGACAAAAAGAUACCCAAACCUAUGCGGACAUGACUAAUUUGCUCAACAAGUAAGUUCAAUCGAUCAUUUAUCGCACCAUAUCGGCAACUUUUUGUUCAUUUCCUGAUAUCUCAAGCAAUAAUAAUUAUUUUCUUUGUCUUGCAGGGUUUGGAAACAGUUCACCGCAGAAGUUCCGGGACUGCCGAAGGAGCUGCGAUAUACAUACCCGAAAGUAAGUACUACUAGCUAGCUAGUUGCGCGCAUCUCCCGUUGAUUCUAUAGUUGUACUUUUAUCAAUGCCAUUUAUAAUGCUUCAUUAUCAGUUUGAUUGACCUUUAUUUCUCGUAAAGAGCUUGUGGCAGGAACAAGGGAAUGAUUUCUAUGGAUACUACGUGUGCGAGUUCAUCUACAACGCGACUUUGAAAAAUAAGCGGGGCUACUCUAAAAGACAAUAUGAAGUGCGUAAGCAAUAAUAUUCACAAUUUCAUUUUAUUACACCAUCAUUUUUGUUGAGUUUCAUUCAUAUAUGUAUUAACCCCUUCUUCAAAUUAGACGUGGCAGAUGCGGGAUGAACUCCUAGAACAAGAUUGCAUGAAAAUAAUUCAAGAGGAAUUGGCGGGAUUCUUUCUUGACCACAUCAUCAAUAAAGCCGGAGAAUACCAUGUGGAAGUUGAUUUCAAUUGCUAGGGGAUUGUAAGAGCUCUUACAUAUUGUAUACGUAUGUAUAGCCAGUAGCGUCGGAUAGACAAUACGAAAACUUGUUGUUCGACCAAUCUCUCGGAGAAGGAGAGGUCGAUCGAUCACUUCUCUCGGUAUGCAUGACGAAUUUCUGUACUUAAUGGUUCCCUUCAUUUUCUUACUAGCUAGCGUGUCGAGGGCCUCUCUAUGUACAGACGUAGCGUCGACCAAGCACAGACAUAAGAGAGGACACUUCUCUCUAUUAAUUAGCUAGCUAACACAAUAUAUGAAACACCUAAAUUAACCCCCCANNNNNNNNNNNNNNNNNNNNNNNNNNNNNNNNNNNNNNNNNNNNNNNNNNNNNNNNNNNNNNNNNNNNNNNNNNNNNNNNNNNNNNNNNNNNNNNNNNNNNNNNNNNNNNNNNNNNNNNNNNNNNNNNNNNNNNNNNNNNNNNNNNNNNNNNNNNNNNNNNNNNNNNNNNNNNNNNNNNNNNNNNNNNNNNNNNNNNNNNNNNNNNNNNNNNNNNNNNNNNNNNNNNNNNNNNNNNNNNNNNNNNNNNNNNNNNNNNNNNNNNNNNNNNNCCCCAGCCACUGAAUUGCUGACGCGUCGACGCCUUUUGAUCCCGGUUGGUGCCACCAACCGGGACCAAAGGCCCUCAUGCCUGGGCUCGGCGCACCGGCCAUGUGGAGGCACAUCUAUCCCGGUUCCUGUUAGAAUCGGGACUAAAGGGGGAGGCAUUAGUAACGAUCCUUUAGUCCCGAUUAAAGGCCCUUACGAAUCGGGACAAAUGCCCCUUUUCUACUAGUGACAACUAGUCGCUGACAUAGAGAUGACAGGCUUCGCUUGGACCGCAUGGCCCCGGCCUUGUCCAGCCCAUCCUAUGAAUGACCAUGCAGACACUAGAAUACGAGGCCAUACCACGGUAAGUAUUCAACUCCAUCGAACUCUCUUAUUGACAUCACGCCAUGCCCAUUCUUUAAAAAAAACUAGCUAAUUAAGUAAAUUCCUGUCGCCGCCGGCGGCAUGCAAGCAGUAUAGGCUCUGACUUUUGGCAGCAGUGGGAUGACAGUGCGCUGGGAGUAGUUAGGAUGGAGGACUCUCUAAGGGUGCCAGGCUGCCAGCCUGCACGCAGCAUCCUGGAUGGCCAAGAACAUGGGGCGGCGACUGGAUGAUUAUUUUGCAAGCGAUGGAUGGCCGGCAUUGGGGACCAUUAGAUUAACCAUUAGAUUAAGCCAAAAUCUGACGGUCUCAUGCUGACCAUUAAAUUAACUAAAUACUACCCAUUACGUUGAGUAGUAUGAUGUACCGUAAAAUUUCCCCAUUCAAAUCCCCCGGGCAUGGUGUCUGGAUGGAUUUGGGGGCGCAUCGGCUGCAAAUUCGAUGCCAGCGGCCGCGGGCCGUGCAUCACGGGCAAUUGUGGUGGCGUGUUGUCCUGUGCCGCCGGUGGGAAGCCACCCGCGACGCUCGCCGAGUACACGCUAGGUAAGGGCGGCAGCCCUGACUUCUAUGACAUCCCCCUCGUCGAUGGAUUCAACGUGCCCAUGAGCUUUGGGCCUAUCGGCAGCAGCUGUCACGCGAUAAUCUGUACCGCGGACAUCAACGCAAAGUGCCCGUCGGAGCUGAAGGUGGACGGAGGCUGUGUGAGUGCGUGCAUCAAGUUCGGCACCACCCAAUACUGCUGCAUGCCGCCGCUUACGCCGUCGACCUGUGGGCCGACGGACUACUCGCGCUUCUUCAAGGGGCACUGUCCGGACGCCUACAGCUACGCCUACGAGAAGAGCAGCACCUUCACAUGCCACGUCCGAUCAGACUACCAAGUCACCUUCUGCCCAUAGAGGCGAUUGGGAUUCAAUUUACUUCGAUGGUUAAGUCUGUAAUGUAAUAGCAUUUCCAAUGUAAUAAUGGAAAUAAUGAUGACUAAUGAUUCCACAAAAAAAAUCUAUUGAAAAACUUUAUUGAGAAAAAAAAUUGACAACAUUUUUUUUUCUUUUGUGAGGAUAGAAUAGUCAACUUCUUUGUUUCGAGGACGAACAUACUUCUCUCUUUAAUCCAUGUUAAAUCAGCAACAGUUAAUAUAAAUCGGAGGGAGUAUAUGAAACAAGGCAUUGGCUAUAGGCCUAGGGCCUACCCAAGUUUAGUUGCCUUUUCUGAAGAUAGUAGCUAACCGUGAAUCUCAUAUUUCCUAUAUGACGCUCGUUGCCUCGGUUUGUCUACGAGACAUUUUAUGUGACGCUCGCCAUGUCUAACAGGUGUCUAACAGUAGCGAGCUGGGCCACCGGCCCAUAAACAAAGUACUGCUGCAGUGCCUAAACACUGAUUAAUAAUCUGAACGACAAAGCUAAAUACCUGCCGACUGUUCGUUAGCGAUAGGCACGUACGAUUCGCGCGCCUCUUCUGAUUCAUCCAAGCGCUCCACUCCGCGAGAAAAGAAAGGGAAGAAAGGGCGGCCAGGACAAGAUUCGAACUCCCGACCUCCUGCAAGUGCACCACCACAGUAACCAACUAAACCAAUCUUUGUUGUUGUCAAAAGCGCCUAGACUAUGAAUGUAUUGCGUAGUGGCUCUUUGUUCAAAAUUUAAAAUGUGAACGAUUUGCUAACUUCAUGACUUAGUGGGAAGAAUCCGGAGACUAUGGCAUUGACUGCCGUGAUUUUUUUCUCUGGAUUGGAUCUGUCAUUUUUUUGGGUGCUAGGUCUAUUUGGCACGGGCCAAUAGCUCCUGUGCGACACAUUUGAGGUGAAUUGGCUUGUGUGCAACGUUGUUCGAGCGAAUGGUUGUGGUGCGACACAUUUGAGCAGGUAAAUAGCCCAGGGCCACAUGGGGUGUUAAAUGUGGUUAAAUUGGUCGUCAACGAAGCCCGUUUAUGUUAGGACAUGUGGGUCCAACUUAAUUGCUCCUCAAAACAGCUGACCGUGCCGGGCCAGCCACUCUGCCCUCUCCCCCCCUUCUUCUCCGGUGGCGGCGGAUCUUGCGUUCUCGGUGGCGGCGGCGGAGCACUCGUUCUCAACGGCGGCGAAGCCUUCGUCCUGAAAAAAUGGUGAGUGAGAACCCUAGUCCCCCUCCCAUUCCUCUCUUGUCCCCGUAGAUCUCAGCUCGUUUCCUCUGUUUUUGCUUGUUGAAUCGAUAGGUUGUGAGGGGAGCCCGUGGGCAUACUGAGAUGGAGCCGCCAGAUUCAACUUCGAAUAGGUAAUGCGCCUCUCUCCGAUCCAAUUUUGCAUGCAAUUAGGGCCUAGUCUGCUCUUUCUCACGGGCUCACAGUGUCCGCCACUGACAGAGGGGAUGCUGCCGCUCGGACCUUCGAAUUGACGGUCAAUUUCUUUCCAUCAAAGGCAAAAUUAGUUGAUGGUAGCAUUCAGAACAUUGAGAGAGACACAAUUGUUAAAUGGGAGGUUGAGUUUACAGAGAUUGAUCCACAAGUUCUACAGAACAUGGGAGAGAAGGCAGUGAAGAAAUUGGUGGAAAAAAUUGAGGAGAAUGUUGUUUGAGGUCCAGAGCAAGAAGUAUCACUAUUGCGGUUUGAUGAUUGGAAAGGAGAGUAUGUGAGAAUGGAAGAUGGUGAACAGAUUGUUGAUGAAAUCGAUCGGCAAAACAGCUGGACAAGCAAACGAGCUAAUUUUUUUGCUGAGCUGGUUGAUCUGAAUAUUUUUUCGAAGGUUGGAUAUGUGCCAUCACAAUUGGCUGCGCAGAUGGUAGAUCAUGAUUGGGCUACACAAAGGCCAUUGAUUCCCAUGUGUACUGAACUUACAGUAAUAGCCGAAGAGGGACAGGUGACUAGAACUGAAACUGAAACUGCAGCAACUGUUAAUUGGAAUGUAGUUGAAUUAGAUGAGUCUACUAAUUUGGUCAUUGCACCAAUGCCUGACAUUGAGAUGGCCAAACUUUUUGGCAUUCCAGUCGAUGACAGAGAUAAGCAGGAGAGGGGCGAAUCUAGUUUGCUUGCUAAUGCUGAUGAAGAUGUAGAUGGACAAUUGAUGGAACAAGCUGUAGAUGAAGUAGAUGAUGCACAUGAUGAUGAGCUGGUGCAUGUGCAUGACAAAGAAAACCCUGUCAUUGAAGUAGGCAAGUUGUUCCCAAGCAUGAAGGAGUUUAGGAUGUGUUUCAAGACUUAUGCUGUGAAACAUGAGUUUGAUGCCAAGACUAUUUGGACUGAUAGAAAGAAGUUUUAUGCGAGGUGCAGAGGAUUUGAUGGUAGUGUCAAGCCUUGCAAGUGGUACAUAUCUGCUAGACUGCAACCUGAUGGAAGUACUGUCAGGGUUAACCAAAUCCCCAAUCAACAUACUUGUAUUACAAGUUCACAGAGAGUAUCAACCAUGACAUCACAACUUUGGGUUGCAGAAAAGAUCACCCCAAUUUUAGCCAAAACACCAAACACUACUGCCAAGAAACUCAAAGUAGACUUGGAAAAGAUGUACCCCAUUAAACUGAAAUAUACCACAGUGUGGAAGGCAAAACAAAGGACAAUGAAAAAUUUAUAUGGUGAUUGGGCAAAUACAUUUAGGAUGCUUUACAACUUCAAAGCAGAGGUGGAAAAGAGGUCACCUGGUAGUGUUGUGGAGAUAGAUACAGAGGUAUCAUCCAAAGGUGAAGUCAAGUUCUCCAAGUUUUUAAUGGCUUUGAAGCCUUGCAUAGAUGGCUUCAAAGCAGGGUGCCGUCCAUAUUUGAGCAUAGACUCAUCAUUUUUGACAAGCAAGUGGAAUGGUCAGUUGGCAGCAUGCAAUGCUCUAGAUGGACACAACUGGAUGUUUCCUAUUGAUGUUGGCUUGUUUCAGUCAGAAAGAGAGGCUUCAUGGACAUGGUUCAUGAUCCAGUUGAAAAGAUGCCUAGGGCCAGUGCCACCUUUGGCUAUACACACAUAUGCAUGUAAGGGGCUUGAAAAUUUAGUUAAAAAUGUUUCCAUGUGUCCUCCCUUGACGAAAAGAAAGGCUGGCAUGCCUAAACAGAGUAGAUUCAAGGCAUGGUUUGAGAAAGGUGGGAAUAGUAAGAAGGGAAAGAAAGAUGAAAAGCCAAAAAGGGCCCAAAAAGGUAACAAAAACAGAUGCAAGUUGUGCCAGGAACUUGGGCACAGAGUGGGAUCUGUCAAAUGCCGUUACACUCCUGAUAAGCCAAAGUAUGUUCUUGUUUAUUUGUCUGUGUUUUGAUUUGGUGCUUUUUUCCAAUUACUAUAUCUAUAACAUUUUCUGCACAGGAGGAAGCGAGCAAGUCAGCCCCUUGUUGUUGAACAGUGUUGGACAACAAAAAAAGCAAGAGCCAAUGGCGGUAGAAAGAAGAGAAGUGUGUCUAAGCCUGAGCAGACUGAAGAAAAUCCUACUGCAGUCAAUAUUCAAACUGAACAAACUGAUGUGGAGGUGCACACCGAAGAAACUGAACCUGAGCGUGUCGAGGUUCAUACUGAAGAAAAUGAACCUGAGCGUGUUGAGGUUCAGACUGAAGAAACCCAUGUUGAGGUACACACCAAAGAAACUGAAACUGGUGUCAACAUUGAGACUGAAGACACUGAUCACGAGGGUAUUGGCGAGGUGUUGAAAAGACCAGUGAUGAAAACCAAGAUGAUCAGUGAACUUGUGUGUGUAGUAGAACCAAAACAAUAAGGGCUAAGGCGAAGAAGGGCACACGACGUGGUAGGAAGAAGUAGAACAGAGAACGGUUUGAAAAUUUGGGACAUAAUAAGACUAUGUGCGCAAGUUUUAUAUGUUUUUGAUUUUUCUGAAUUAGUUAUGCUCAACCCUAAUCAGUCAAAACCCCUCAAAACCCCUCUCAAAACCCCUCAAAACCCCGCACACUACCUGGUCGUCGAUCGUUGUGCGUGGACGGUUGAGAUCAGGCGCUAGGGUUAGGGCAUCUCCAGCCGCGCCCCCAACAGGCCCUCCCGAGGCGAUUUUGCCGCGCCGGCGUCAAAAAAAGGCCCUAGUCGCACCCCCAGAAGCCCGUUUUUCGCCGGCUCGGGCCAAAACUGGUGGCGGCGGACCCAGGCCGAACCCAGCGCCCUGGGGGGCGCUUGGGGAGCCGGCACAAGCGAAAAAGGCACGUGGGCCCGCCCUGGAAGCGACCCGAGGGCCUUUUCCCGCCGUUUCUUGACGCUUUUCCCUCGCAUCUCUCCCGCUCGCUCGCCUUCCUCCCGCCAUUCUCUCCCUUUCUCCCGCCAAACCCCCUCCCGCUCGCCACGAAGAAGCACGCCAUGCCGCCGAAGAAGUACGCCAUGCCGCGCGCGGCGGCAACCGCGACUGGCGCCGUGGCCCAGCCGAAGCAGAGGAAGCCGAGAGCGCCGCCAUCGAAGCCACCGGGCCUGUCGAACGCCGAGUGGAGGGUGGAAGUUCAGCGGCGCGAAGCAGUCACCGCCGACAGGCGGAACAGGGCCAUAGCCAAGAAGGCCCGCGAAAUGCGGCGCGCGCGGCGGCGUCUUCCUCAUCGGUCAACCAGGCGGGGAUGAAUCCACCCGUCGUCAGCCACGCCCAGUACGCGCCCGGGGGACAGCAAGGCGCCGGAUUUCCAUGGGGUUCAUCGUCGCCCGGCUACGCCGACGGCGACACACGCGGUGGGUUCAACCCAAACGUGACCUUCCCCCAUGGUCACCCCGCUACACGCACGCCCUCGCUCGCCUUCGUCGGCGUGCAGUACCCUCCAUACAACUACUCGCCGCCCGCCGCCGACGCGUCCACACCGACGCCCCAUCUCUACCGCGGACCGCUACCCUUCUCGCACCUCGGCGACGCCGACGACACAGGAGCCGACAUGGACGACAUCAUCGCAAGAGGAUCGACCGCGGCCGCCGCGUCUCCCGGGUUCGCCACCCAGGACGAGGUAGUGGACCUCAGCGGCGACAUGGAGGCCGAGCUCGGCUACAUCUACGGCGACGACGCGUAGGAACCCGACGAGGAGGAGGACGAUGAGGAGGAGGAGGAGGAGGAGGAGCCGGCUCCUGUUCCGACGAAGGGGCGCCAGAAGAAGAAGCAGCGGGCGGCUAGGUCAGGCGAACCGCGCAUCAAGUGGAUGUCCAAGGAGGAGGAAUGCCUCGCCGAAGCAUGGAAAGUCGUCUGCCUCAACCCGACCACCGGCGCGAACCAGAGCUUGGACAUGUACUAGGACCGCAUCAAGGCCGAGUUCGACGAGCGGAAGCUCGUCGACCCCUACUUCAAAGGCGUCUACAUGCAGCGCGGCUCCAAGGCGAUGGCGAACCAUUGGGGGCGUAUCCAGUUGGCGUGCAACAAAUGGCAUGGAAUCGUCGAGGAGGUCGCGGCUCGCCCGGAGAGCGGCGCUAGCGUUGAGGAUCAGGUACGCACGCCGUUCCCCGCAUAUCUUCGUCCCCUACGCCCGCCGCCCGCCAACUGUUUGUCCCUUCGCGCAGCUGCUGCGUAUGUUCGCCAUGUAUCAGGGCGACAACCAAGACGCCGACUUCAAGCACCUCCACGUCUACAAGCGCAUUGACAAGUGCGAGAAGUGGGCGGAAGUCUGAUGUGCCCUCGACAAGGCCACGGAAACAUACAAGCCAGACGCGACGACUCCGGGCGCGUCAGAGGGACGGCCGGACGGCCACAAAUUGGCAAAGAAGGGGAAAAGCGCCGACGCGGCAUCCGCGCGAGUGCAGGAGUCCAUCGAGCAUUGCCUCGCCGACGCCCAGGCCCGGGCCGUCCUACGCGAAGAGAAGACCGAGGCGCGGUGGUCGUCGCUAAUGAAGAACAACGCCAUCAAGCUCGACCUGCUCCGGAUGAACGUCGCCGCGAAGAAGAGGAACACCGACAUGGCUUUUCUGAUGAGCGGGGCGGACAUGCUCCAGAGCAACGACGAGAAGCUCAUGGCGUGGUACCUGGUGCAGCGCGUCCUCAUCCUGAAUGAGCUGCCGACGGCAACGCCGACGACGCCCACGACGCCCACGACCACACGGACGCCAAGCCCGAACGAUGCCUCUAGAUCUCCGCCCAGCAGUGCCGAAGCCGCGCCGACGCAGCCUAGCACUGAACCAGCUCCGACACCGACGAGCCCGCGCACGCCGACUCCACCAACUCCUGGAGCCGACCCCGCCGAGUGAAUCGUUGUGCACGCGAACUUGCGGCGGCGGCUCUCUGUUUUUUGUAACGCCAGACUACGUCCGAUCGCCGGAUUUGCGGCGUCUUUUGAGAGCGGGAACGACCAAGUUUAAAUUUCCCGCAUCCUGGGGCCGGCGCGUGGGGGCGUGACUGGGAGCUAGGUCGCCCCCAGGGGCCGAACUAGCGCCGGCACGCCCCCAGGCCGCUCUAUUUAGGCUUCCUGGGGGACCGAACGGCUGGAGAUGCCAUUAGCUACAGUGUGCAACGAUCCGCAUGAGACACGCUGAUUGGUUGACGCGGUGGGGUUUGGAUCAGCCUCUCUCGUUGGGGCAUCAUGACCGUUCAUUCGAAUCCAACGGCAAGAGUUAACGCGGUGCAUGAACCAAGCCUACGCAGUGCCCUUUCCAUCGUUGCGUGCGUGCCCGUGCCGGCCACAGCAUGCAUGCCCACCCGCAAAACUGCGCCCGUGCGUUGCAUGCAUGCCUCGACGUAGCCCUGCUCCGCCACCCCUACCGACAGAGUAAGCUGUCGCAUGCCUACCAUGAGAACCAAUGCAGCGUCGCAUCAAAGCAUGCACCCGGCCACAAUGCAGCAGCCCGAUGAAGACAACCAAAAAGCCAACACUGCAUGGCGUGGUGUGCACGUUGUGCAUGGCGUGCUCCUCUUUGAGGAUGCAGUACUGGCAUGGGGUACCGAUGUGGGUAUCGAUGCAGUUCAAAUGGCGUGUUGCCCGUUACAAGAUGGGCAAAAGAAGGCGUCCAUUAUUGUCACAUCUCCCAUCGACCGAACCUUGCCCUCUAGCCAGGCCCUAGCAAGAUGAGCAAAUUAAUGGGCUACGACAUGCAUGCACGGGCGGCACACGCAGAGAACCCGAGGAAGGCGUGUCCCCUUGACCCACGAUACCACAGACGCGUGCGUGAGCCCGUCCCCCUUGACCCGCGACCGGUGGCACAGAAGCGUCGCAGUCUGUUUCCCACGGCCACGCUCGUGUACACACUUUCAUGGGGCGCCACCAAACGCCGCCCGCCCAUUAAUUCUAGGGUUUCGACGGGGCGAAACCAUGCCGCACUUGGGCUAUUUAAGCCGGGCACUAUGGUCCUCUCCCUCCUCAUCCAUCAUACCCCAUCCUCUGCCUCCUCUGCCCUUCUUCUUCCUUCUUCUCCAUCAAACCCGACCGAGCACUCGAGCCACCCCGCCACCAUGCAGUACACUGCCCCCACCUACCGUUCCCCCCAACUGUGCCGGAAAGGCUCUACCCGGCCGGAGUGUAUGUAGAGAGAACCCUUAGGGUUUGGGCAAUCUCGAGGUGGAGGGGCGCAAGGGAGUUAACAGAGUUCUUCCUUGCGGCCGGCUUCCGCCACCUCCCCCGCGGCUCUCCUUGGAUGUACCAUGUUGAGGAGGUUAACCACAACGGUGUUGUGGUUGGGCUCCUCGCCACGUUCACUAACCCUUUCAAUGCUUUCCAUCUUCUCGGGCGAGCGUAUUGGGUUGGUUGUGAGUUCAUAGCUUUCACCACCUACAAUAUCUUCACCGACUUCCAGAGCAUCUUCCCCAACAACGGCGUUAUGCACACGCUUCCGUACCCCACCAACAACAGGGAGGAGUGAACGGCGGCGCUCGGAGGAACGAGGUGGCGUUGUUCCCUCCGAGGAGGGGGCGCCCCAGAGGAGGAGAGGAGAAGAGCCCGAAGAAGAACCCGCGUUUGGUGCCCCCGAUCUAUCUAGCUUAUCGUACUAGUUUUUUUAAGUAGUAAUUGUUAUGCUACUAUUAUUAAGUUGUAUUAGUAUUUUAAGUUGUAAGGCUAUCAUGGAGUUGUAAGGCUAUCGUGGAACUAUGGGUUGCAAUCAUUAUGAUACUAUAUAUAUUGUGUUGGAAAUAUGCCCUAGAGGCAAUAAUAAAAGGAUUAUUAUUAUUAUUUCCUUGUUCAUGAUAAUUGUCUUUUAUUCAUGCUAUAACUGUAUUAUCCGGAAAUUGUAAUACACGUGUGAAUACAUAGACCAUAACAUGUCCCUAGUGAGCCUCUAGUUGACUAGCUCGUUGGUCGACAUAUAGUCAUGGUUUCCUGACUAUGGACAUUAGAUGUCAUUGACAACGGGAUCACAUCAUUAGGAGAAUGAUGUGAUGGACGAGACCCAAUCCUAAGCAUAGCACAAGAUCGUGUAGUUCGUUUUGCUAGAGCUUUUCCAAUGUCAAGUAUCUCUUCCUUAGAGCAUGAGAUCGUGUAACUCCCGGAUACCGUAAGAGUUCUUUGGAUGUACCAAACGUCACAACGUAACUGGGUGACUAUAAAGGUGCACUACAGGUAUCUCCGAAAGUGUCUGUUGGGUUGACACGGAUCGAGACUGGGAUUUGUCACUCCAUAUGACGGAGAGGUAUCUCUGGGCCCACUCGGUAAUGCAUCAUCACAAUGAGCUCAAAGUGACCAAGUGUUUGGUCUCGGGAUCAUGCAUUAUGGUACGAGUAAAGUGACUUGCCGGUAACGAGACUGAACGAGGUAUUGGGAUACCGAUUAUCGAGUCUCGGGCAUGUAACGUACCGAAUGACAAAGGGAAUUGUAUACGGGGUUGUUUGAAUCCUCGACAUCGCGGUUCAUCCGAUGAGAUCAUCGAGGAGCAUGUGGGAGCCAAUAUGGGUAUCCAGAUCCCGCUGUUGGUUAUUGCCCGAGAGCCGUCACGGUCAUGUCUACGUGUCUCCCGAACCCGUAGGGUCUACACACUUAAGGUUCGGUGACGCUAGGGUUGUAUGAAUAUAAGUAUGCAGUAUACCGAAUGUUGUUCGGAGUCCCGGAUGAGAUCCCGGACGUCACGAGGAGUUUCGGAAUGGUCCGGAGGUAAAGAAUUAUAUAUAGGAAGUGGUAUUUCGGCCAUCGGGAAAGUUUCGGGGUCACCCGGUAUUGUACCGGGACCACCGGAAGGGUCCCGGGGGUCCACCGGGUGGGGCCACCCAUCCCGGAGGGCCCCAUGGGCUGAAGUGGGAGGAGAGCCAGCCCAUAGUGGGCUGGUGCGCCCCCCUAGGCCCACCCCUGCGCCUAGGGUUGAAACCCUAGGGUGGGGGGGGGCGCACCACAUGCCUUGGGGGCACUCCUCCCCCCUUGGCCACCGCCCCCUUGGGAGAUUGAAUCUCCAAGGGCCGGCGCCCCACCUUGGGGGCCUAUAUAAAGGGAGGGGGGAGAGGGGCAGCCGCACCCUGAAGUCCUGGCGCCCCCUCCCCCUGCUACACCUCUUCCUCCUCCGUCACGUGCUUGGCGAAGCCCUGCCGGAGUGCUGUUGUUCCACCACCACCACGCCGUUGUGCUGCUGCUGGAGCCAUCAUCAUCAACCUCUCCUCCCCCCUUGCUGGAUCAAGAAGGAGGAGACGUCACACGCACCGUACGUGUGUUGAACACGGAGGUGCCGUUCGUUCGGCGCUAGGAUCUCCGGUGAUCUGAAUCAUGGCGAGUACGACUCCAUCAUCACCGCUCCAUCUAACGCUUCCGUACGCGAUCUACAAGUGGUAUGUAGAUGCAAACUCACUCCCUUGACUCGUUGCUUAGAUGAACUCAUAGAUGGAUCUUGGUGAAACCGUAGGAAAAAUUUUAAUUUUCUGCUAUGUUCCCCAACAGUGGCAUCAUGAGCUAGGUCUAUGCGUAGUUCUCUAUUGCACGAGUAGAACACAAUUUUGUUGUGGGCGUAGAUCUUGUCAACUUGCUUGCCGCUACUAGUCUUAUCUUGCUUCAGCGGUAUUGUGGGAUGAAGUGGCCCGGACCAACCUUACACGUACGCUUAUGUGAGACCGGUUCCACCGACUAACAUGCACUAGUUGCAUAAGGUGGCUGGCGGGUGUCUGUCUCUCCCACUUUAGUUGGAGCAGAUUCGAUGAAAAGGGUCCUUAUGAAGGGUAAAUCGAAGUUGACAAAAUCACGUUGUGGUUAUUCGUAGGUAAGAAAACGUUCUUGCUAGAACCCAAUUGCAGCCACGUAAAAGAUGCAACAACAAUUAGAGGACGUCUAACUUGUUUUUGCAGCAAUUAUCAUGUGAUGUGAUAUGGCCAGAAGUUGUGAUGAAUGAUGAAUGAUAUAUUGUGAUGUAUGAGAUCAUGUUCUUGUAAUAUGAAUCACGACUUGCAUGUCGAUGAGUAUGACAACCGGCAGGAGCCAUAGGAGUUGUCUUUAUUUUUGUAUGACCUGCGUGUCAUUGAAGAACGCCAUGUAAACUACUUUACUUUAUUACUAAACACGUUAGUAGCAGUAGUCGUUGGCGUGACAACUUCAUGAAGACAUGAUGAUGGAGAUCAUGGUGUCAUACCGGUGACAAGAUGAUCAUGGAGCCCCGAAGAGGAAGAUCAAAGGAGCUAUAUGAUAUUUGCCAUAUCAUGUCACUACUUUAUAUAAUUGCAUGUGAUGUUUAUUAUGUUUUAUGCAUCUUGUUUACUUAGAACGACGGUAGUAAAUAAGAUGAUCCCUUACAACAAUUUCAAGAAGUGUUCUUCCCUAACUGUGCACCGUUGCUAAAGUUCGUCGUUUCGAAGCACCACGUGAUGAUCGGGUGUGAUAGAUCCUUACGUUCACAUACAACGGGUGUAAGACAGUUUUACACGUGCAAAACACUUAGGGUUAACUUGACGAGCCUAGCAUGUACAGACAUGGCCUCGGAACACGGAGACCGAAAGGUCGAACACGAGUCGUAUGGAAGAUACGGUCAACAUGAGAAUGUUCACCGACGAUGACUAGUCCGUCUCACGUGAUGAUCGGACACGGCCUAGUCGACUCAGAUCGUGUAACACUUAGAUGACCAAGAGGAUGGCAAAUCUGAGUGGAAGUUCAUUAAAAUAAUUUGAUUAGAUGAACUUAAUUAUCAUGAACUUAGUCUAAAAUCUUUGCAAAAUAUGUCUUGUAGAUCAAAUGGCCAACGCUCAUGUCAACAUGAACUUCAACGCGUUCCUAGAGAAAACCAAGCUGAAAGAUGAUGGCAGCAACUAUACGGACUGGGUCCGGAACCUUAGGAUCAUCCUCAUAGCUGCCAAGAAAGCAUAUGUCCUUGAAGCACCGUUAGGUGACCCACCUGCUCUCCCAGCACUGCAAGACGAUUUGAACGUUUGGCAGACACGUGCUGAUGAUUACUCCCUCAUUCAGUGCGGCAUGCUUUACAGCUUAGAACCGGGGCUCCAAAAGCGUUUUGAGCAACACGGAGCAUAUGAGAUGUUCGAGGAGCUGAAACUAGUUUUCCAAGCUCAUGCCCGGGUCGAGAGAUAUGAAGUCUCCGACAAGUUCUAUAGUUGUAAGAUGGAGGAAAACAGUUCUGUCAGUGAGCAUAUACUCGAAAUGUCUAGGUUGCACAGCCGCCUGUCCCAGCUGGACAUUAACCUCCCGGAUGAGGCGGUCAUUGACAGAAUCCUUCAGUCGCUCCCACCAAGCUACAAGAGCUUUGUGAUGAACUAUAAUAUGUAGGGGAUGGUGAAGACCAUUCCUGAAGUAUUUUCAAUGCUGAAGUCGGCAGAGGUUGAAAUCAAGAAAGAACAUCAAGUGUUGAUGGUCAAUAAGACCACUAAGUUCAAGAAGGGCAAGGGUAAGAAGAACUUCAAGAAGGACGGCAAAGAUGUUGCCGCGCCCGGUAAGCCAGUUUCCAGGAAGAAGUCAAAGAAUGGACCCAAGCCUGAGACUGAGUGCUUUUAUUGCAAGGGGAAGGGUCACUGGAAGCGGAACUGCCCCAAAUACUGAGCGGAUAAGAAGGCCGGCAACACUAAAGGUAUAUUUGAUAUACAUGUAAUUGAUGUGUACCUUACUAGUACUCGUAGUAACUCUUGGGUAUUUGAUACCGGUGUUGUUGCUCAUAUUUGUAACUCACAGUAGGAGCUGCGGAAUAAGCGGAGACUGGCGAAGAACGAGGUGACGAUGCGCGUCGGGAAUGGUUCCAAGGUCGAUGUGAUCGCCGUCGGCACGCUACCUCUACAUUUACCUACGGGAUUAGUUAUAAACCUUAAUAAUUGUUAUUUGGUGCCAAGUUUGAGCAUGAACAUUGUAUCUGGAUCUCGUUUGAUACGAGAUGGCUACUCAUUUAAAUCCGAGAAUAAUGGUUGUUCUAUUUAUAUGAGAGAUAUGUUUUAUGGUCGUGCCCCUAUGGUCAAUGGUUUAUUCUUAAUGAAUCUCGAGCGUAAUGUUACACAUAUUCAUAGCGUGAAUACCAAAAGAUGUAAAGUUGAUAAUGAUAGUCCCACAUACUUGUGGCACUGCCGCCUUGGUCACAUUGGUGUCAAGCGCAUGAAGAAGCUCCAUGCUGAUGGACUUUUGGAGUCUCUCGAUUAUGAAUCAUUUGACACAUGCGAACCAUGCCUCAUGGGCAAGAUGACAAAGACUCCGUUCUCCAGAACAAUGGAGCGAGCAACCAACUUGUUGGAAAUCAUACAUACCGAUGUGUGCGGUCCAAUGAGCGUUGAGGCUCAUGGAGGAUAUCGUUAUGUUCUCACUCUCACUGAUGACUUGAGUAGAUAUGGGUAUGUCUACUUGAUGAAACACAAGUCUAAGACCUUUGAAAAGUUCAAGGAAUUUCAGAAUGAGGUAGAGAAUCAACGUGACCAAAAGAUAAAAUUCUUACGAUCGGAUCGUGGAGGAGAAUAUUUAAGUCACGAAUUUGGUACACACUUAAGAAAAUGUGGAAUCGUUUCACAACUCACGCCACCUAGAACACCUCAGCGUAACGGUGUGUCCGAACGUCGUAAUCGCACUCUAUUGGAUAUGGUGCGGUCUAUGAUGUCUCUUACCGAUUUACCGCUAUCAUUUUGGGGAUACGCUCUAGAGACAGCUACAUUCACUUUAAAUAGGGCACCGUCUAAAUCCGUUGAGACGACAUUGUAUGAAUUAUGGUUUGGGAAGAAACCUAAGCUGACGUUUCUAAAAGUUUGGGGAUGCGAUGCUUAUGUCAAGAAACUUCAACCUGAAAAGCUCGAACCCAAGUCGGAAAAAUGUGUCUUCAUAGGAUACCCUAAAGAAACCAUUGGGUAUACCUUCUACUUAAGAUCCGAGGGCAAGAUCUUUGUUGCCAAGAACGGAUCCUUUCUGGAAAAAUAGUUUCUCUCGAAAGAACUAAGUGGGAGGAAAGUAGAACUCGAUGAAGUACUACCUCUUGAACAAGAUAGCAGUACAGCUCAGGAAAAUGUUCCUGUGAUGCCUACACCAACUGAAGAGGAAAUUAAUGAUGAUGAUCAAGGUACUUCGGGUCAAGUUGCUAUUGAACUUCGUAGGUCCACAAGGACACGUUCCGCACCAGAUUGGUACGGCAACCCUGUCCUAGAAAUCAUGUUGUUAGACAAUGGUGAACCUUCGAACUAUGAAGAAGCAAUGGCGGGCCCAGAUUCCAACAAAUGGCUAGAAGCCAUGAAAUCCGAGAUAGAAUCCAUGUAUGAAAACAAAGUAUGGACUUUGACUGACUUGCCCGAUGAUCGGCGAGCGGUAGAAAACAAAUGGAUCUUUAAGAAAAAGACGGACGCAGAUGGUAAUGUCACCAUCUAUAAAGCUCGACUUGUCACUAAGGGUUAUCGGCAAGUUCAAGGGAUUGACUACGAUGAGACUUUCUCUCCCGUAGCGAAGCUUAAGUCCGUCCGAGUCAUGUUAGCAAUUGCCGCAUACUAUGAUUAUGAGAUAUGGCAGAUGGACGUCAAAACGGCAUUCCUCAACGGUUAUCUUAAGGAAGAGCUGUAUAUGAUGCAGCCGGAAGGUUUUGUUGAUCCUAAGAAUGCUAACAAAGUAUGCAAGCUCCAGCGAUCCAUUUAUGGGCUGGUGCAAGCAUCUCGGAGUUGGAACAUUCGCUUUGAUGAGAUGAUCAAAGCGUUUGGGUUUAUGCAGACUUAUGGAGACGCCUGCGUUUACAAGAAAGUGAGUGGGAGCUCUAUAGCAUUUCUCAUAUUAUAUGUAGAUGACAUACUUUUGAUGGGAAAUGAUAUAGAAUUCUUGGACAGCAUUAAGGCCUACUUGAAUAAGUGUUUUUCAAUGAAGGACCUUGGAGAAGCUGCUUACAUAUUAGGCAUCAAGAUCUAUAGGGAUAGAUCGAGAUGCCUCAUAGGUCUUUCACAGAGCACAUACCUUGAUAAGAUUUUGAAGAAGUUCAAAAUGGAUCCAAGAAAGGGUUCUUGCCUGUAUUGCAAGGUGUGAGAUUGAGCUCGGCUCAAUGCCCGACCACGGCAAAAGAUAAAGAAGAGAUGAGCGUCAUCCCCUAUGCCUCAGCCAUAGGAUCUAUUAUGUAUGCCAUGCUUGUAUCAGAACUGAUGUAAACCUUGCCGUAAGUUUGGUAGGGAGGUACCAAAGUAAUCCCGGCAAGGAACACUGGACAGCGGUCAAGAAUAUCCUGAAGUACCUGAAAAGGACAAAGGACAUGUUUCUCAUUUAUGGAGGUGACGAAGAGCUCGUCGUAAAGGGUUACAUCGACGCUAGCUUCGACACAGAUCUGGAUGACUCUAAGUCACAAACCGGAUAUGUGUAUAUGGUGAAUGGUGGAGCAGUAAGCUGGUGCAGCUGCAAGCAGAGCGUCGUGGCGGGAUCUACAUGUGAAGCGGAGUACAUGGCAGCCUCGGAGGCAGCGCAUGAAGCUAUUUGGGUGAAGGAGUUCAUCACCGACCUAGGAGUCAUACCCAAUGCGUCGGGGCCGAUCAACCUCUUCUGUGACAACACUGGAGCUAUUGCCCUUGCCAUGGAGCCCAGGUUUCACAAGAAGACCAGGCACAUCAAGCGUCGUUUCAACUCCAUCCGUGAAAAUGUUCAAGAUGGAGACAUAGAUAUUUGCGAAGUACAUACGGAUCUGAAUGUCGCAGAUCCGUUGACUAAACCUCUCUCGCGAGCAAAACAUGAUCAACACCAGUACUCUAUGGGUGUUCAAUUCAUCACAAUGUAACUAGAUUAUUGACUCUAGUGCAAGUGGGAGACUGUUGGAAAUAUGCCCUAGAGGCAAUAAUAAAAGGAUUAUUAUUAUUAUUUCCUUGUUCAUGAUAAUUGUCUUUUAUUCAUGCUAUAACUGUAUUAUCCGGAAAUCGUAAUACACGUGUGAAUACAUAGACCAUAACAUGUCCCUAGUGAGCCUCUAGUUGACUAGCUCGUUGGUCGACAGAUAGUCAUGGUUUCCUGACUAUGGACAUUAGAUGUCAUUGACAACGGGAUCACAUCAUUAGGAGAAUGAUGUGAUGGACGAGACCCAAUCCUAAGCAUAGCACAAGAUCGUGUAGUUCGUUUUGCUAGAGCUUUUCCAAUGUCAAGUAUCUCUUCCUUAGACCAUGAGAUCUUGUAACUCCCGGAUACCGUAAGAGUGCUUUGGGUGUACCAAACGUCACAACGUAACUGGGUGACUAUAAAGGUGCACUACAGGUAUCUCCGAAAGUGUCUGUUGGGUUGACACGGAUCGAGACUGGGAUUUGUCACUCCGUAUGACGGAGAGGUAUCUCUGGGCCCACUCGGUAAUGCAUCAUCACAAUGAGCUCAAAGUGACCAAGUGUUUGGUCACGGGAUCAUGCAUUACGGUACGAGUAAAGUGACUUGCCGGUAACGAGACUGAACGAGGUAUUGGGAUACCGAUGAUUGAGUCUCGGGCAUGUAACGUACUGAAUGACAAAGGGAAUUGUAUACGGGGUUGUUCGAAUCCUCGACAUCGCGGUUCAUCCGAUGAGAUCAUCGAGGAGCAUGUGGGAGCCAACAUGGGUAUCCAGAUCCCGCUGUUGGUUAUUCCCCAAGAGCCAUCUCGGUCAUGUCUACGUGUCUCCCGAACCCGUAGGGUCUACACACUUAAGGUUCAGUGACGCUAGGGUUGUAUGAAUAUAAGUAUGUAGUAUACCGAAUGUUGCUCGGAGUCCCGGAUGAGAUCCUGGACGUCACGAGGAGUUUCGGAAUGGUCUGGAGGUAAAGAAUUAUAUAUAGGAAGUGGUAUUUCGGCCAUCGGAAAAGUUUCGGGGUCACCCGGUAUUGUACCGGGACCACCGAAAGGGUCCCGGGGGUCCACCGGGUGGGGCCACCCAUCCCGGAGGGCCCCAUGGGCUGAAGUGGGAGGGGAGCCAGCCCAUAGUGGGCUGGUGCGCCCCCCUAGGCCCACCCCUGCUCCUAGGGUUGAAACCCUAGGGUGGGGGGGGGCGCACCACAUGCCUUGGGGGGCACUCCUCCCCCCUUGGCCGCCGCCCCCUUGCGAGAUUGAAUCUCCCAGGGCUGGCGCCCCCCCUUGGGGGCCUAUAUAAAGGGAGGGGGGAGAGGGGCAGCCACACCCUGAAGUCCUGGCGCCCCCUCCCCCUGCUACACCUCUUCCUCCUCCGUCACGUGCUUGGCGAAGCCCUGCCGGAGUGCUGCUGUUCCACCACCACCACGCCGUUGUGCUGCUGCUGGAGCCAUCAUCAUCAACCUCUCCUCCCCCCUUGCUGGAUCAAGAAGGAGGAGACGUCACACGCACCGUACGUGUGUUGAACGCGGAGGUGCCGUCCGUUCGGCGCUAGGAUCUCCGGUGAUCUGAAUCACAGCGAGUACGACUCCAUCAUCACCGCUCCAUCUAACGCUUCCGUACGCGAUCUACAAGUGGUAUGUAGAUGCAAACUCACUCCCUUGACUCGUUGCUUAGAUGAACUCAUAGAUGGAUCUUGGUGAAACCGUAGGAAAUUUUUUAAUUUUCUGCAACGUUCCCCAACAUAUUGUGUGUUUCGUGCUAUUAUUUGAAGAUUGCUAUGUGUUGUUCUUGCUUAUUAUUUGUGUAUUGCUAUGGGUUGCUAUGAGCCCGGGUUGCUACACCUCAAUCUCACCACACACACCAUCUUCAAAAUAUUGGCCAAACCAUGGACAUGCAACUAGGAGCCCCAUGCAAACCCACGGGCCCGCAAACCCACUAUGGACAUGCAACUACGAAAUGCAAACUAAUUUACUUCAUGCAACUCAUUUAGUUCAUGGAACCGUAGACAUGCAUAAAAACAAUUAACAUUUGGUUUUAUUGCAUCAAAAAAUGAUCCAUCACAAAAUUUAGUGCAAGAAAAAGGCCAAAGUAAAAACAUGUAACAUUUUAUUUGCAGAAGUUAGAGGUGGGCUAGUGUCGCUGCGCGGGUGGGCUGGUCUCCUUGAGCCCGGUCUCCUUACGGCCCAACAUCUAUUGGGCAGCCCAGUUUUGUUUUUUACUAGAAACUGAAUUUGGGUGUGUACUCUGUUAACUGAAGAACAAAAACAGGGGAAACAGAGCAUGAACACUGAAUAAUUUGUGUUCCAAAUUGCUGCUUCAAUUCAGACACAUUACUUGCACACAGAUCACCUCCUCUACCCUGACAGGCCUAAAUGCCCAUUCUAAUGACGGAUGAACAACAAAUAAAACAAAAACAGAGCAAUGAUACGACAAUAGAACCCCCCUGCCAUGAUAUUUGUUUGCUUCUGCAAAUCGAUCAUCUGCAUUAGAUGUUUCUUGAUCUUCUUGAGUUCCUCGGUCAGUUCGGACUCCGCAUGCAGUUCAGCAUUGCGCGCAUACAUCGCCAUCGGCACGACUCUGCCUGCCCCUCCGCCCGAGCUCGCCGCAUUCUCCACAGCAAUCGGCGGCACCCCGCCCAAAUUGAGCUCCCAGGUUGCGGCCACGCUCGAAUCAACGUAGCCCUCAAACUGAAUCCUAUCAACAUAUUCAUCAAUCCACUCGAAAUGGUAACAUUUCUUCAAGAUCCGAAAAGAACAACAUGAACCCUAAAUCACAAAUUCGAGGAGAAAAAACAAAAUAUGGAAAAAUCAGAGCAAAAGAUAGCGAAAGAACGGGCUAAGAACUAAGAUCUAACCUUGCCAUCCCUUCCUACCAUUGGUUUGCUCAAGCAUUUCACAAAUUCCCACCCAAGAUUGCCAUUGUCAUCCCUUUUAGUGACCAACCGUUUAAGAGGGUCUGGGCGUGGGCAUUCAGGGCACCUUGUUAGCAGCACUGGUCCAUACUGUCGCCAUUUUGAUUGCGUGGCGGAGGAGGUAGACAUUUGCGCUAGGUCGCCGGAGAAGAGAAAGAUUGGGGAAAGGGGAUGAAUGGGUAGCGGCGGGCGGACGGGCACGGGCGCUCGUCUCUUCUAGCUGCGAAGAGGUGGGUCCCGCGAGUAGACAAGUGGUGGGUCCCGCGCUUAGGUGGAUAAGUGGUGGGUCUAGCGCUUACAUGGAUAAGUGGUGGGUCCAGCCCCCAACAGCUUACGAGGGCAUCAGUUCAGUUUAACAACCAUGUCGUGCGUGGGCUAUUUACCUGCUCAAAUGUGUCGCACCACAGCCAUACGCUGGAACAACGUCGCACACAAGCCAAUUCACCUCAAAUGUGUCGCACAGGAGCUAUUGGCCCAUUUGGCACACCCUGGUUACAUUUUUAGUCCAAAAUAAAAAUGAUGCUGAAUAUGGGACUUGAACCCAUGUCAAGCAGGUAAUGGGAAACACACACCAACCAGCUCAGCUGGACUAUUUGUUGUGCAAAAGAAUGCACAUCAUAUUAUUUGACCAUAUUCCCUCUUGCUUUCUUUUUCUUUUUUCUUUGAGGAGUUGAUUAAAUAUCUCCCCGUAACUUUUUUGUGAAUAGUAUGAUAACUCACACAUUGCAGGCCCAAUAACUUAUGUAUCCCUGUCCUGAUAAGUUUGGCGACCAAAAGGAAGGGGGAGAGUUGACGAACUUUUGUGUGAAUAGCAUGAUAACUCACACAUCACAUACCUGAUAACUUAUGCACCAUAUCUUGGUAACUUUGCCAAGGAGGGGUGGGGGGAGUUGAUGAAAUAUCCCCUCGAUAGCUUUUGUGUCAAUAACAUGGUAACUCACACAUCGUAGACCUGGUAGCUUAUGUACAAAUAUCGUGGUAGCUUUUUUGACCAAAAAAACUAGUGUAAACAUACCUUCGAUAACUUUUUGAAUGAAUAGCAUGGUAACUCACACAUCGCAAACCUAAUAACUUAUGCACCCCANNNNNNNNNNNNNNNNNNNNNNNNNNNNNNNNNNNNNNNNNNNNNNNNNNNNNNNNNNNNNNNNNNNNNNNNNNNNNNNNNNNNNNNNNNNNNNNNNNNNNNNNNNNNNNNNNNNNNNNNNNNNNNNNNNNNNNNNNNNNNNNNNNNNNNNNNNNNNNNNNNNNNNNNNNNNNNNNNNNNNNNNNNNNNNNNNNNNNNNNNNNNNNNNNNNNNNNNNNNNNNNNNNNNNNNNNNNNNNNNNNNNNNNNNNNNNNNNNNNNNNNNNNNNNNNNNNNNNNNNNNNNNNNNNNNNNNNNNNNNNNNNNNNNNNNNNNNNNNNNNNNNNNNNNNNNNNNNNNNNNNNNNNNNNNNNNNNNNNNNNNNNNNNNNNNNNNNNNNNNNNNNNNNNNNNNNGGUCAGCGCAAGGGAGGAAAUAACUUUGGCACGGGGGAUAACUUUUUUUCCCACAAAAAAAAACAUUUUUCUCUGGGCCCAAAGUUACCGCAGUGUCUGUGAGCGAGUUAUCAGGUUCGUGGUGUAUAUAUUACCAUGCUCUUUAUAGACAGUUAUUGGCGUGUGUUAUAGCAUGGUUUUUUAAUGCAUUACAGACCUGAUAACUUAUGCGCAAGCCCCCUGAUAAUUCUGACUCAAGGAUUUUUUUUUAUUAAAAAUAUACCCCAAUAACAUGAUAAUUUAGACGCCACACACUUGAUAACUUACGUAUGAACACCCCGGUAACUUUCGUUUCAGUUAAAAUAAGUGUAGAAAUAUCCCCCGAUAAAUUCUAGAUAACUAGUAUAACAUGAGGGGCAUGGAGACAUCAUAUAUCCAUCCGUGAAAAUUGUGUGGUACAUAAAUCGAAGGAAAAAAACUGAAAAAGCAUGUUUCAUGUACUAUAGGUAGGAAACAAAUGUUUAAAUCUAAUCACUGGCUCAAUCUAGACCGAGUGGUUGCAAGCUACCGUGGGCUACCAAGAUGUAGCGGGUUCGAAUCCCACUUUCACCAAUUGUUUUUAUUGCGCUAGAAAAAGAAUACACGGUGGAUCGAUGUAGCGCCAGGAAAAUCGGAGCGAUCGUACAUGGGUGGAAUCGUGCGGAUCUGUUGCUAACGACCAGACUGGUCGUUAGCACAGUCCUAAUCUGAAUGCAGGACCAAGUUCAAUGACCAUAAAUAAAGGAUAUUAAAGCAAAUAUGUCCUCCUUUGAAGAUACUAGGGGUAAAGCAUGAGAUGAGAGAAUCACAUGAAGAAGCUCACUGCCUAGCAAAAGCUGCUUUAUCGCUAGAUUUGGGGUGCCACCUGUGGGUUACAUACCCACCUGAAACCGCUUGUAUCCCAAACGUUGUUUUGAGUUAAUUUAAACCUAGUGAUACCCCUCAAAAAAGCACUGCAGCAACGCAAUGUAGCAACUACUCCUGCUAUAACCUUCUCCAAUACGUUUGUAGAGUCCAUGACAACGUUAAAAAAGGACAUAUGUUAAGUUUGAGAAGUAGUGUUCUAGCAUGGUACUGUAGUGGUAAUUUUUGGAGGGAAAAUAGAACAAUUUUUGGAAAGCCAUAAACAUUUUUUAAUUUUUUUACCUAUUUCUUAAACUCAAAUAUUUUUUCAGAGACACGACUAAAUUUUGGAAAAAAAAAAUUAGAAUUUCCCAAACAUUUUUAAAACAUGAAUGUUCAUUGUAUUUUCCAAAUAGUUUAGAAAUAUAUGAACAAAAUUUGAAUGGUAAACAUUUUUAAGAUUUAUAUGUAAAAAAUUUAUAAUAUUGUGAACACUUCUUAAAAUACAUUAACAUUUUUCAAAAUUUUCUACCUAAGAGAAGAAAAGGAAAACACAAAAGAAAAGGGAAAGGAAGAACAAGCGAAGAAUAAAAUAAAAGGAAAAACCAGAGAAAACCAUAACCAAAACAAAAUAGAUAAAACGGAUCUUAACUGCUUGGGCCGGACAAUCAGCGGUUCGCUCGCUGGAUCGUUUGUGCUGUGCGAAGCAACGGCAUUGGGCUGCAGCGAGCGGCAAAUAGGGAUUUCGUUGUCGACCAAAUGCACAAGGAAGCGAGCGAGCGAACAAAGAUGGGCGGGACUAAUUAGAUGCAGUCUACAAGUUUCCUGUUUAUUUUUUUGGAUGUUUUGUCUACUGGCUUUUUCUUGUUUGGUUGUUCUUUUACCUUUUGUUUUUUUAAGAUCAAGUUUCUGAUGCAAUUAUGUUGUUUUCUUUGGUGUGCCGCGCUUCCCUCGCGCCCUUUCUGAUGCCCUCUCCAGUCAAUUCAAAUCCACUGUCGAACGCACGAGCUCCUGAUAUGAAGCUGCCCCCCCCCCCCUCCUCACUGAGAAUCCAUCAGUUGAUCCAGGAGCAUCGCGGAUUUCGCCACCAAAUUACCAUAUCUCAUGGGUGAUCAUGUUCCUAGUGCCAGUCCCGCUCCCGAUUGUGGGUAGCGAACCUGGAGAGACAGGGGUCGGUCUCUAUGAGAGGACAAAUAGCCGAGUGCCUCGCUGGAGUGGACGUGGUUGUUGGUGUCUAAGUGGUGGAGUGGUGGCGUAUCGGUUCUUUACGUACAUCGAGGACCCAGGUGGGUGAAGCCUUCUCCAUCUUAGAUAUGCAUUUUUCACUUGUAUAUCUUGGAACAACAAGCAUAGUUUGACCAUAUAACAUAUACUGUGCAAUAUAUUAUAAUAAUUUGAUUAACCCUACUCUGAUGGGUGACCGCCCAUCACUGGUGAUGGGCUAGCUAAGAGCAUCUUCAUCCGGACUCCUUAAAUCGACCGGACAGUUUCAGAAACACUGACAGGAUAGGAGAGGGAAGAAAAGGUUGACCUAACCGGACCCCACAAAGCCUGCUUAAAUGGCCGGGUUGUCCGACACUUAGACGCUCUAACCCGUCAGGGAGACUGAAGACCCGAUCACUGAUUUGUCAUGAAACAAGAAACUAGGAGGGAGUUAAUGUACCGUGCCUAAGUGUUUGAGUUUAUUUGGUUUUCGUAAGGUGACAUACACACCUAGACGGAGGGAGUACCAGUGAUUCACUGAUUCUAGCCUUCUAGCACCCUACAUUGUAAUCAUAUUAAUUGCGUCAUGAUGCAGACGCCGCCGUGGAAAAUGUCUAGGCAGGCUAGCUGGCCUGGAUUUAGACACACCACCAAACCAGCCUAUAGCAGCCUAUGCAUGGACGCCUCGGUUUAAGUGUAGUUGUUAACUCCUAAUCGCCAGACUGUAUGCAACCAAACAUCAGGUGAAACUUGGUUUCACAAUGCAGAGACCAUAUAUACAGGCAAUCAAAUAACAUGCAAAUAUCAUAUUUUUCUAUAUUUUUCCUCAACCUGCCUCCAGGGACGGAGCCAGAUAANNNNNNNNNNNNNNNNNNNNNNNNNNNNNNNNNNNNNNNNNNNNNNNNNNNNNNNNNNNNNNNNNNNNNNNNNNNNNNNNNNNNNNNNNNNNNNNNNNNNNNNNNNNNNNNNNNNNNNNNNNNNNNNNNNNNNNNCAUAAGCACAUACUGUAGUAAAUAUCAUGAGAUCUAAAUAGUAAAUAUAUGUAUCAGGGGCCAUAGCACGCUAAAUGGCGCUAAAUUGCACACUAUAUGUUUAGCGGGGUGCCCCUGCUGCUGUAACAUCGAGAUAUUGCGCCACUUAAUUUUGAUAAAAAUACACAUAUCUACUAAUUUGAAGUCAGCUUUGUGAGCACGAAAUCAACAAUUUCUUCAGAGCUAAACCUGGCCGUUAAUUCCUUCUCAAUGAUUGUAGUUUUUACAAUUAUAUAUUGCAGUUCGAUAUGGUUCUGAAAUCACAUGCUAACCUAAUUAGGGCUUGAAUGUAUUGCUCAAAAUACCUUGUAUACUCGUUCUGUUGCCGCUCGUCCGUGCGGUCGGCCUACCGGCUACCGGCAAAGUGCCCAUGGAUCGACGCUCGCCCACGGCCGUCCCUUCACCGCUUUUCUUGAUGGCGAUGUGACGGAGUCGCGCAAAGAUCUGAUAGCAGGCAGCGGCGCUACGGCAGGCGGCAGAUGUGAAUUUCGAUCGGAGCAUGCGGUUGGGAAAUGAAGGGAUAGCGACCCGUUUGUGCGUGGACGCGUAGGUGGGCUGCUAGCCUGCUAAUUAACCUGUUUGUCCUCCUCUACUUGGGGAUGGGCUGCGUGCUGGUAGCCUCCUAAUUGUAUACGACCUGUGGCUGCUUGUUUUGGGCCUCUAUAUAGGCUGCUAAACUGCGUCGUGUACAUGGGUUCACUUAAUUUCUCAAAAAAAAACAUGGGUUNNNNNNNNNNNNNNNNNNNNNNNNNNNNNNNNNNNNNNNNNNNNNNNNNNNNNNNNNNNNNNNNNNNNNNNNNNNNNNNNNNNNNNNNNNNNNNNNNNNNNNNNNNNNNNNNNNNNNNNNNNNNNNNNNNNNNNNNNNNNNNNNNNNNNNNNNNNNNNNNNNNNNNNNNNNNNNNNNNNNNNNNNNNNNNNNNNNNNNNNNNNNNNNNNNNNNNNNNNNNNNNNNNNNNNNNNNNNNNNNNNNNNNNNNNNNCUCAACUCAGCCUUGUCCUUUUUUUAUGCAAUCUCUGAAAAUUGAUGCAGGUAACCAAACACGUCCUAGGUUAUGGAGCAUAACAGAUGAUCCGAUAGCCAAAAAGACUUCACCCAUAAGUCUUCAUUUUUUUUGGGUUUGAGAUAACUUUUCCCCUAGGGUUUUCUCCUAGGGUCUACCUAUCCUCUGGCAGCGCCGCCAGAGUCCACGAGAGCCAAACACCGCAUGACCUGCAGCUCUACGGCGGGAUCGUUUCGCUCGUCCGAGGGGGUUCGCUACGCAUGGCGGAUCUGGUACGGUUGGAAGGAGGAAGGAGGCAGUCGGGAGGAAAGGCGGCAGCACGGUUGGAGGAAGAGAAGAUAGUUGAUGGAGCGGGAGGUUUGGGAAGCACGAGUCAGAACUUUAAGGGGGGACAGGAGGAUAUGUCGGCGGACCACGCCAUGGGGGACAGGAGGAUAUGUCGGCGGACCAUGCCAUGCCAGAUGAGGAGGAGGAUGAAGAGGAAGCAUGGGAUCAUUAUGGUCCAGAUCCGGCUCUGGAGGAUGCGUUUGAAGGGCUAAACUUACAUGGUGAAGAAGAGGAGGAUUUGGACCUAUCUAGAGAGGUGGAGGAGUUGAUCAGGGAUGUGAGGUGGUUAGCGCUGUUUAGGGUUCAUACCAUGCGGCCGUUCAGCCACUCGGCGCUAUUGAACUCGAUGAGGAACGCGUGGGCUUGCGCCCAAGGGAUCACGUUUAACAUCAAAGGUCCGAACUUGUUCCUUGCACAGUGCCAUUGCUUGGGAGAUUGGAAACGCGUGAUGGAGGGGGGCCGUGGCAAUUUCGUAGGGAUCCGGUAGUUUUGGUGGAGUAUGAUGGAUUCACAAGCGUAGCUGAGUAUUCUCUGGACAUGUACCCGCUCUGGGCAAGGAUUAAAGGCCUUCCGGAUGGGCUGACAAGGAAGAAGGAGCUUGCAGAAAAGGUUGCUAAGAAGGUUGGAGAACCACCAUUUAUGGUUAUGGUGAAUGAAGGAAAGAUAAACCCAUCGAGCCAUCUACGGUUGAAAGUGUUUGUCAAUGUGAAUAAGCCUCUUGUGAGAUUUGUGCCGGUCACUUUAAAGGAAAGGAAGAAAUACCUGGUUAGCUAUGAGAAACUCCACGACUUCUGUUUCUUAUGUGGCUGCAUGAGUCAUGUAGUUGAGGAGUGUGGUGAUGGCAUCCACCUGCCUAACUCGUGCGAAUGGGGGGGACUGGCUUCACUGGAAUAAUGAACCGGGAGGAGGAGGAGGAGGUGCAGGCAGAGGAGGUAGAUCUAGUGUGAGGGGCGGGAGCUUUGCUGCAGGGAGUGCUGGGCGUGGGGGGAGAAGAGGCGGCGCUGGGGGACGAGGGGAUGGAGGUAGCGUGAGGUUUAAUAGUGGUGGGAGAGGGCGGGAAGAAGGUCUUGCCAAUGAAAAUCGUGCCCAUUCGGAAGACAAUAAUUUGCAUGUUGAUGAUGAAGGAGGGAGGGUUCGUAAGAGGCUAAUUGCUGAUGAUGGUAUGGUGGACGGGAGUGGGCAGGCAGUACAAAACCCUGGCGGCAUAGUGUCGAAUGUUGUUUUGAUGAUUGAAAAUGGCGGUGGGGCAGGAAGUCAAGUAGAUGGGGGUGCUCAUACCCCGAGAAAAGUCCCAAUAGUUAAGAGGAGGAAGCAGGGGGUGAAGGAAGUGAAGUGUUAAGUGCAGGGCCGGCCCAUAGAUAUAUGGGGCCCAGGGGCAAGACAGCAAUAAGGGCCCCCUGUUUACUAAAAGCUCAAAAUAUUUUAUAUUUCAAAAGCAAAGUAAUAUCCAGUACAUAGCUUCUCAAUUUGGACUCUAAAACUGACAGUACAAUUUAUUUAUCAAUCAAGUGAACCAAUGAAAUGAUGUAGUUUGGCAAAAGCUCGCUUUCCACAAUAGCUUGUACUCCUAAAUUUUAAUGGAGACUUCAUUUCUCAGCUGGUUGUUCUUCAACACUUGCUAUGGCCAAUUGAUUCUAGGGGAUCUCUAGAAGAACUACCAGGUCUGGAAAAUUUGUCAAGUGAUCCUUUUAGGGAUUUUACCUCUUCAUCUAUUUGCUCUUUUCUCUUCCUUUUGUUACUACCAGAUAAAUACUUUCUAGAGGACAUGUCAAUAAACAAGAACAAGCAGCAUAAAAUGAUUAAAACAGGGAACAAAAGCACCUGAAUAUGGAUGUAGGUGGCCAAAUCAGCAGAUCCGCAGGUUGAAGUCAGCACGAACGAGAACACAACACCAUGAACUGAAUAAUUUGCCCCCCUUCUCCAGUUCAGGAGCUCCCCUAAUCUCCUGACUGCCGAGCACUCACACUUAGAUCCACUGAAGUCUGAAGAGUAUAAAAUAAGAAGAAGAGAUGUGGAGUCGUUAGAGGGCACGUCUACUUAAUUGAAAGGAGGAACAGGAUUAUGGGGAGGAGGAAAAGAAGAACACGUACUGUCUCCAAGUCUCCAAUAUCUAGCUGAUGGGGAACGAGCAGAACAUAAAAGAAGGAAGGAGAGCCGAUUUGUGCCUUUAGUCCCCAUUAAUGGUCGGCUGCGAUCUAGGAAUUGGAGACGCUCGGAACGGCGGCGAUCUAGGAAUCGGAGACGCUCGGGAACGGGGGCGAUGUUUUCAGAGUAUGGGAUUUUGGGUAGAGGAGUCGAGAAGCACGGGAAAGAGCGACGCUGAACGGGCCCUCUGUACUCUCGCUGUUUUUCUGGGCUUCCUAGUCCAAUAGAGGAAAUAAUACCUGGGCUGGGGCCCCUGCCUGCCGGGGGCCCAGGGCGGGCGCCCCGUUUGCCCGGCCUAUGGGCCGGCCCUGGUUAAGUGACAAGAUGAAUGUGGCGGCCUCCGUGUGUGAGGACCGCCGAGUCCAAUGAAUUUCUUAAGCUGGAACUGCAGGGGAGGGGGGAAUACCCGGACAGUUCGUGAGUUGGCGACGUUAUCCCAGUCGCAUUCCCCCAACUUUAUCUUUUUGUGUGAAACUAGACAAAAGGCUAGUAAGAUGAGGAGGAUCCGGGCAAGAUUGGACCUCAAGGGCUUUGAGGGGGUGGAUAGCAAUGGUAUGAGUGGGGGUCUGGCCCUCUACUAGCAUGAGUCUUGUGUUGUGGGGGUGGUUGAAAAAGAUGAAAGGUAUAUUGAUGCGGUUAUGAGGUUGCAUGAGGGUGGAAGCCAAUGGAGAGUUACUUGUGUGUACGGUGAACCUCGCACGGAAAAUCGACAUCUCAUGUGGGCAAAGCUUCAGGGUUUGAAGAAUACUUGUGAUCUUCCGUGGCUUGUAAUAGGUGAUUUUAAUGAAGCACUUUGGAGUUUUGAACAUCUCUCGGUUACCCCAAGACCAGAACCACAAAUGUUGGCGUUUAGAGAUACUCUGGAGGUGUGCGAGUUGGUGGAUUUGGGCUUCUUUGGGGUGCCGUUUACAUAUGAUAACAAGCGCAGCGGUAACGGAAACGUGAAGGUCAGGUUGGAUCGGGCUGUAGCAUGUAAUGCAUGGAGAAACAUGUUUCCCUUUGCCCUGGUUAAACAUGUCCCAUCACCAUGUUCUGAUCAUGUGGUUGUAGUGCUUAAAGGAGAGGAGGAGAAAACACCAUGGGGUGGGGGCGCUCGUCGGUACGAACUAUUUUGGGAGAGGGAUCCGGUGUUGCCAGAGGUGGUAAAAAGCGUGUGGGACUCAGUUGGUUCAGUUAGUAGCAUGGCUGACUUACAGCAAGCUCUCUCUAAAACAAUGUCAGCAUUACGUUCGUGGAGCAAGAAAUUUGGUAAUGUUACGAGGGAGCUAGCAAAGUCUCGCACGCAAUUGGAGGAGCUUAUGAAUAUGAAAGCUGACAGGCAGGAUAAUAGAGUUGUAACUGACAAAAUGAAUGAAUUGUUAUACCAGGAGGAGAUGAUGUGGUUGCAAAGGUCUCGAAUUACUUGACUCAAGGAGGGGGAUAGAAAUACAAGGUACUUUCAGAGCAAGGCAGUGUGGAGGGCCAGGAAGAAUAAGAUUAAGGAGUUGUCUGACAGCAUUGGUGUGAUCCACUCGGAUAUGGCAUCAAUGGGGCGCAUUGCGAAUGAGUAUUUUCACAACAUCUACAAAUCUGAUCCGAAUAUUGUAUCAUCGACUGUUGUGGAUCUGUUCGCUCGAGUGGUGACAACAGAGGAUAAUGUCAAGCUUUGUGCGCCGUUCAGUGACAAGGAGAUAUCAGAUGCCCUGUUUAUUGGUCCUUUGAAGUCUCCGGGUCCGGAUGGCUUCCCUGCCCAGUUUUUUCAGCGCAAUUGGAGUGUGUUGAAGGAGAGUAUCCUAGCUGCAGUAAAGGAUUUUUUUUCCACGGGUGUAAUACUAGAGGGGGUGAAUGAUACGUCAAUUGUGCUCAUCCCAAAAAUUUCUAACCCUAUUAAGAUUUCUGAUUUCAGGCCCAUAAGUCUUUGCAAUGUAACAUACAAGGUGAUUUCAAAGUGUUUAGUCAACCGGCUACGCCCGUUGUUGGAUGAUCUUAUUUCACCUGAACAGAGUGCUUUCAUUCCGGGGAGGAUGAUCACGGAUAAUGCACUAGUGGCUUUUGAAUGUAUCCAUUAUAUCAAACAGGAAAAGGACCCUUCGAAGAGUUUUUGUGCUUACAAGGUAGACCUCUCCAAAGCAUAUGAUAGAGUGGAUUGGGGCUUCUUGAAGCAAAUGAUGCAAAAGAUGGGCUUCUCAGACCGGUGGGUGGACUGGAUUAUGGCGUGUGUCACAUCGGUUAGAUACUCUGUUAAAUUAAAUGGGACCCUCUUGGAUUCGUUUGCACCGACGCGUGGGCUUCGGCAAGGUGACCCUUUAUCACCGUUCUUGUUCUUGUUUGUGGCGGAUGGCCUUUCCGCGGUCUUAAACCAGCAAGUAUCAGCUGGUGUCAUCACACCGGUUAGGAUAUGCAGAAGAGCGCCGGGUAUCUCACAUCUCUUGUUUGCGGAUGACACUCUUUUGUUCUUUGAAGCAUCUCAAGAACAAUCCCUACAUGUGAGGAAGGCACUGGAUAUGUAUAGUGCAGCUACUGGUCAACUCUUGAAUUAUAACAAAUGCUCCCUGUUUUUUGGUGAUUCAUGCCCGGAACCAGUCCAGAAUCUGGUCAGUAAUACCCUCCAGGUGACCAGCACACUUUUUGAGGAAAGGUACUUGGGUCUUCCUACGCCAGAGGGUCGCAUGUCCAAGGGUAAAUUUCAGAACUUGCAAAUGAGUUUAACAAAACGUCUAAUACAAUGGGGGGAUGGACAUCUAGCACAGCCGGGUAGAGAGGUACUUAUCAAAUCGGUAGCCCAAGCAUUGCCAACAUAUGUGAUGGGGGUUUUCAAAUUACCGCUCUCCUUGUGUGAUGAGCUUACAAGGAUGAUCAGGAAUUUUUAUUGGGGCUGAGAGAAAGGCAAGAGGAAAGUGCAUUGGAGAGGGUGGGACUAUCUCCUCCAGCCUAAAUCAAGAGGAGGAGUUGGAUUCCGAGAUCUCCGUAUUUUCAACCAAGCACCGCUCUCACGUCAAGCUUGGAGAUUGAUCACCAGGCCGGUCAGUCUAUGCGCAAGAGUUCUUAAAGCACGUUACUAUCCAAACGGGAAGUUGGAAGACACUGUCUUUUCGGGAACGCCUCAUCCUCAUGGCAGGCUAUAAGCCAUGGACUGGACUUGCUGAAAAAAGGUUUGCUAUGGAGGGUCGGGAAUGGUAACAGUAUUAGAAUUUGGAGAGAUAAUUGGAUCCCCCGGCCUUUCUCUUUUAAGCCGAUCUCUCCACAAGGUCGAUGUCGUGUCCGUUUUGUGGCUGAUCUUUCGUAUGAUAAUGGUUCCUGGAAGUAUGAUCAAUUGGUGAAGUAUUUCGUUGCAGCUGAUGUCACAGAAAUUCUGAAGAUUCGAGCGUCACCAAGAAAGGAGGAGGACGUGAUAGCAUGGGGGCCAGGGCGUCACGGUCAGUUCUCUGUAAAAUCGGCCUAUGAUAUGGCCUUCCAGGAGGAACACAGAAAUAAUGUUGUUUCUUCGAGUAGCAACCCAGACGGUGAUAGAUCUCUAUGGAAAUUGGUAUGGUCUGCUGGGGUUCCUCCCAAAGUUCAGAAUUUUGCAUGGCGAUUAUGUACAACAGUCUCCCAACGUGGAAAAACAAACAAAGAAGAGGACUAGAAGUUUCAAGUCUGUGUCCAAUCUGUGCUAUGGAAACCGAGGAUAAUUUCCACCCGGUUCUUCGGUGCCCGCUGGCUCGUCAAUUAUAUGAGGCCAUGUCAGAGGUGUGGAAGUUGCCAGCACUUGGAACGAUUCUGCACACAGGCAAGGAAUGGUUAUUCCAGCUCCUGGAGGAGCUGGACCAAACCACGUGCAGCAUGCUACUAUUUACGUUCUGGAGGUGUUGGUAUGUGCGUAAUGAGGUGGUGCAUCAUAAACCUCCCCCGCCUGUGAGUGCAUCAUGCAGGUUUCUUCAGAGCUAUUUGGAGUCGCUCAUUGCCACCAAAAUAAAUGGUGAUAUGGACCCCCGGAAGGGCAAGGCGAGUUGUGUAAUCUUUGCUAAACCCCCUCGAACUUGUACCACAGAGCCAGAGUUGAAGUGGGUUCCGCCCCAGCAAGGAUGGGCAAAACUGAAUACCGAUGGUUCUUAUGACGGCGGGGGUUCUGCAGGUUCAGGUAUGAUCCUGCGAGACGAGGUGGGUGGUAUUAUCUUCACUGCAUGUAGGCAGCUGUUUUCUUGCCGGGACGCGCUGGAGUCGGAGCUUAAUGCAUGCAUGGAAGGACUGUCAUUGUCAUUACAAAGAAGUGAAGCACCCAUUGUUGUGGAGAUGGACUCGGGCGUGGCUGUUUCCAUGAUCCAGGAGGAGGGAGUUGACAGAUCAGUGUAUGCUUCCAUAGUCAAUGAAAUCAAGCAUCUUAGAACUUUGAGAGAGACGCGUAUUACUCUUGUUUCCCGUAGCCAAAAUAAAGCUAGUGAUUGUUUAGCCAAUUUUGAAGGGGAGCCUUGGCGCAGUGGUAAAGCCGCUGCCUUGUGACCAUGAGGUCACGGGUUCAAGUUCUGGAAACAGCCUCUUGCAGAAAUGUAGGGAAAGGCUGCGUACAAUAGACCCAAAGUUGUCGGACCCUUCCCCAGACCCUGCGCAAGCGGGAGCUACAUGCACUGGGGCUGCCCUUUUUUUUUAUUGUUUAGCCAAUUUUGCUAGAGUUAGCCAAAGAACUGUGACGUGGCUACGAUCAGGCCCUCCGAGUGUCCUGGGUUUGGUGCAAGAUGAUUAUAAGGACCUUUUGAAUGAGUAAUAUAUGGUUUCUUCCCGCAAAAAAAAAAAGUCUUCAUUUUGAUCGUCCCUUCAUUAGACCUCUACUAGUAAGAAGUGAUAUAUCUGUUCAAACAUUGGACUCACAUGUGGUGCAUUGUACACUGCUGCAAGUAAGCAUACAUGAGGUGGCACAAUUUGGAUUCUAGAACCAUCAUAUUGCAUGCUGCCAAACGCGGCCGAAGAAAACGUCGAGCCAGCUUGCUUUGGACUAUAGUAGCAACAGGCAGCAUUGCGGCUAUAAAUACAUCCACCGCGGGCGAGAGCAGCAAGCCACAAUUCACCACCGCUGCACGCACACUACCAUCACAAACUCGUCCAAGAAUACCAAGAGCGGCAUCAUCCAUGGCGUCCACUCGCGUCCUCCACCUCAUCAUCGCCCUCGUCCUUGCCGUCACCGUCGCCACAGAUGCGGCCACCAUCACGGUGGUGAACCGGUGCUCCUACACGGUGUGGCCGGGCGCGCUCCCAGGCGGCGGCGCGCGUCUCGACCCGGGCAAGUCGUGGCAGCUCAACAUGCCCGCCGGCACAGCGGGCGCCAGGGUGUGGCCGCGCACCGGAUGCACCUUCGACGGCAGCGGCCGGGGCCGGUGCAUCACGGGCGACUGCGGCGGCGCGCUGGCUUGCAGCGUGUCCGGCCAGCAGCCCACCACGCUGGCCGAGUACACGCUGGGGCGGGGCGGGAGCCGGGACUUCUUCGACCUGUCCGUCAUCGACGGCUUCAAUACGCCCAUGAGCUUCCAGCCCGUCGGCGGCGCGCCGUGCCGUGCGGCGACCUGCGCCGUGGACAUCACCAGGGAAUGCCUGCCAGAGCUGAAGGUGCCCGGAGGGUGCGCGAGCGCGUGCGGCAAGUUCGGCGGCGACACGUACUGCUGCCGUGGCCAGUUCGAGCACAACUGCCCGCCGACGAACUACUCGAGGUUCUUCAAGGGCAAGUGCCCCGACGCCUACAGCUACGCCAAGGACGACCAGACCAGCACCUUCACCUGCCCCGCCGGAACCAACUACCAGAUCGUUCUCUGCCCCGCACGAAAUGAUUUACACAUGGAUCAGUAAGUAGAUGACGUUUUUUCCUUGUAGUCUUCCUGACUUAUUAUGAUCAUCGAUCAUUUCUGUGUGUGCGUGCGUGCGUGUGUGGCUGGUGCGUGCCAUUCAGCGAAUAAAUGUAUAAAUGAAAUGGAAGUGUAAUUUCUUUGCAGUAUGGCAAUAAAUGAAAUGGAAGCGAAAAAAUAAAGAAAUUAGCAUUGAUGAGAUCAAACCAAAAGGCCAUUUAUAUGUUUCAAAAUAAAUUAGUGAACGUUAAUGACUUACUUUGCAGUAUGGCACUAGAAAGGUGUCCGCAUGUGGAUGAUUGACAAUAAAGAACGGGGAUAUGUGAAAGAGAACAUGUAGUUUGAGAUGACCUCCUGAACUUCUGUGGUUUCCAGGUUGUGGCAGUACAUGUAAAAAGGAUUAGAUAAGGACACUUUACCAUGCGGGAGUAGGGGAUCUGUAGCUGGAUGAAGUACCCAGAUCCUCAUUAACUCUGGAGAGACUGCACUGGUGGAGAAAAUAUUUGCAUAGAUGACCUCAUGAAAGGCCAAAUCAAUUCUGUCGGCCAGAGACUCUGGGACAAAACUAUAACCUUCUAUCACCUUGGCCGUGUAUCCAUGUUGACAAUUUUUGAUUUAUCUACCACAUGGGCGUGUAGAAUUUGAAGAUCAAUCGAGAGGGUCUCCAACAUAGAAUCUGAUAGAAGUAGUCCCCAGGCUUAUACAUGUUCAUUUUCCGCCCUUCGGGGAUGACAACAUGCAUAGGUGGUUUGUCUGCAGAUUGUCUGCAACUGUCACGUGCAUUCUUCUCCCCUGAGUGUGGAUUAGCUGGCACUACGUCUCCGGUGCCGGCAUAUCCUUGGGAAAUCUCCUCUAUAUCAUUCAUUGGCCACUUAAGCAGGUGGCUCAGGGUCACUUUCGAUAACAUAUUGACACCGUCGGCAGCAGCGAGUUGUCAUGCCUUUCGUGUUACCCUCGAACCUACAUGAUUUUGAGUGGGACACCUAACGAAGACGACGAAGGCGAGUGCGUCGCCCCGGCCGCAUGCCCUCUUCAUCGCCUCGCCUUGCUGGCCGUCGUCCGCGGCUAGAUUGCCUGGUUUUUGGUUUUCUGGUCGAGCCUCCGGGAUCUACAACUGGUCGCUGACAUGACAUAGAGAUGACAGACUUUGCUUGGACCGCAUGGCCCCGGCCUUGUCCAGCCCGUCCCAUGAAUGACCAUGCAGACACUAGAAUACGAGGCCAUACUAUGGUAAGUAUUCAACUCCAUCGAACUCUAUUAUUGACAUCACGCCAUGUCCAUUCUUUUCAAAAUAAAAACAAAAGCUAGCUAAUUAACUAAAUUCCUGCCGCCGCCGGCGGCAUGCAAGCAGCCUAGGCUCUGACUUUUGGCAGCGUUGGGAUGACAGUGCGCUGGGAGGAGUUGGGAUGGAGGACUUUCAAAGGGUGCCAGGCUGCCAGCCUGCACGCAGCGUCUGGAUGGCCAAGAACAUGGGGCGGCGGCUGGAUGAUUAUUUUGCAAGCGAUGGAUGGCCGGCAUUGGGGACCAUUAGAUUAACCAUUAGAUUAAGCCAAAAUCUGACGGUCUCAUGCUGACCAUUCGAUUAACUAAAUACUACCCAUUACGUUGAGUAGUAUGAUAUACCGUAAAAUUUUCCACAUUCAAAUCCUCCCGGGCAUGGUGUCUGGAUGGAUUUGGGGGCGCACCGGCUGCAACAUCGAUGCCAGCGGCCGCGGGUCGUGCACCACGGGCAAUUGCGGUGGCGUGCUGUCCUGUGCCACCGGUGGGAAGCCACUCGCGAAGCUGAGUACACGCUGGGUAAGGGCGGCAGCCCUGACUUUGGUGACAUCUCCCUCAUCGACGGAUUCAACGUGCCCAUGAGCUUUGGGCCUGUCGGCAGCAGCUGUCACGUGAUAAGCUGUCGGAGCUGAAGGUGGACAGAGGCUAUGUGAGUGCGUGCAUCAAGUUCGGCACCCCCCAGUACUGCUGCACGCCGCCGCUUACGCCGUCGACCUGUGGGCCGACGGACUACUCGCGCUUCUUCAAGGGGCACUUUCCGGACGCCUACAGCUACGCCUACGAGAAGAGCAGCACCUUCACCUGCCACGUCCGAUCAGACUACCAAGUCACCUUCUGCCCAUAGAGGC